rnacentral:lncRNA from 1 species
ACCAAACUAAAAAUUCUGAAAAUGUAAUUCCACAUUUAUUGUCCCUAACGCAAGGGGCAAAUGGCUUGAUGGUUGGUACCCGAGGUCUCGAGUUCGAAUCCUAGUUUAUUCAUAUUUUUAGCUAAAUUUAUUUCUCAAUGAAAUAAAUAAAACGAAUAGCAUGCUAUCUAUCUCUCAAAAAAAAAAAAAAAAAAAAAAAAAAAANGCAAGUCUUGAUCCAAUCUCACUAGGGACUGUGAACACACCCGUCCCGCUUGUCGAAGCGAACCCGUAUUGUAGUAUCCUUAUAUAUAUAUAAUGCCACGUGCCUCCAUGCAUGUAUUUCAUGCUUAUCUAAUUAGGGGGUUGUACAUGCCUCCUUACUUAAAAUAUCCUCCCUCUCUGUCUCUGGAGCCAUACGCGAGGAGGAGGAGCUUGGGUGGAGCGUUCGUCGCCGACGUCGCAUCGCCGAGCCGUUUGAGCGCACGUUUGUCGCCGUAGCGUCGCGUGGAGGCCGGGCGAGGGUGCGUUUUUAUCGUCCUCAAUGUCGCACCGGCGCUGGAUUCGCUGUCGAUGUGGGUACCUAACUUUCCUCCUUGGAUUACUUGAACGCACGGUUUUGAGCUCGCGUGCUGAUUUUACUGAUUUUCAGCAUCGACCGUCAGUGUUUUGGCUCGUACUCGGCGUAGGAACGUCGGAUUUCGACGGGACUUGGUUCGUUGGAUUCAGAACUUCGAGAGGAAUCCACGAAGCCCUUAUUUGCUGGAUUUGGUGAAGGUUUGCUAGGUCGUAUCCCUAUUUCUUUCUGCUGCUGCUGUUUUGGGUAGAAUUGAUGCUUAAUAUGGGUUUCUAUGUUUAGACCCGUGGAGCGUGUUGUCGUUGGUUCGGGGAGCUACGCCGAGCUUGACAGGGACUCCGGUGACCUUCUUCACCAUCGGGGAUUUGCGAUUAAGGUGGGUUAAUCAUCGGUUUACUCCUAAGUGCCUAUAUAGUCGACAUGUAAUUGUGGAAUUAUCUUGUGUGGCGCAAUUACUCGGUUCAUUGAUUUAGUAUGGUUAAUAAUCUGAAUUGGAGCUGAGUUAUUAUCUUUGGAUAUAUAUAUACAUGUUGGACUUGGAUAAGACUUAGGAGAAAACUCGCGAUUAUGAUCGUCAUAUAUUUAAACUACCUGAUUUAGCCCUAGGAGCCGUUGUAUUAUUUUAUACUGUAACAGUAUCUCCAUAGUGAGUAUUCCAGAUAGUUUAGCUUUCAGUUACGCUCGUGCCGGGAUGCCGAAUAUAUUUUUACAGUAGCGUUCAGGCUGUUCCGGACUGUUGGGUGCCGUCGGGGUUGACGGUGGACCCGUAUCGCCUUUUUGGCGUCGGAUUGUGCCGAGAGCACGUUACCUGUUGGUUGUUAGACCAGUUUGAGUCGGUUACUGGACUUUGGCUUUUGAGAGCCGAUUGAGCUCGACAGAGAUACGCUGCAUACUCGGUUGGGUAGCUCCCACGAGUGCCACUCCGAAAACGGGCGUUGUGUUUUCGCGUUGGUGUCGCUCAUGCCGGUUGGACUUGCUCUCCACGGACUAGUAGUGUGGAGGUAGCUGGAUAGUCACAACUAGGCAGGGACGGCUGUGUUCACAGUCCCAGGGACGGGUAUGCUUACAGUCCCGAUUGGAUUGGGUCAGAUUUGACAUUUUCUAUAGUUGGUUAGUGUAGAGCAUGAUAGUGUAGUGAUAAAUAGCGGUAGAUUUUAUUCCUGUAUUUACUACUAUCCUGUCUCCCUUCUGUAGAUUUCGUGGGUGGACCGAUGUUGUUUAGGGCCGCACCCACUGAGGACUACUUGUUUUUACAGUAGUUCUCACGCCAAGUUGUUACCCCUGUUUUGCAGAGCCACAGGUUUCGGCUGCUGCGCCUUCCGCGGAUCAGGAUCGAGGCAAGGGCGUCGCGAGUUAGAGCCCUACCCGACGAGCUGAGCUAGAGGCACUCCUACUGCAGGUAGACGUUUUGUUUCAAGUUUAUGUACAUAGCAUACUUAACUCGCCAGUGCGAGUAGCUCUGUAUUUUGGAUUUGGGCUAUGUAUAUGAAACUUAGUUUGUUUAGUAUUUGUCUACUCGAGCAGCUCUAUACUACUGUUUGUAGUAUUGUAUGCUUACAGGUACUGUUGUCGCAUCGUAUACAGGAAAAAUUUCUUUGUAUACGGCGGAUUUGUCGGCGUGCCUGGGGAACGAGACAUCCGGGGCGUGAUAGUCUAAACACCCCAAUAGUCCCAUAUCAGGUAGGAAUAGAGUUGUGACUGAGUAUAUAAGAGACCAUAAACAAUAAUAAUUAAUAAUUGGAAAAACUUCNUAACAUGUUUGUAAUUGCAUAAAUGUUUGUCUUAAACUCUAUUCGUGGUUUCAACCAAAAGUUUAUAAUAUUAAUAACUUCAUUUGUAUCUCCCUUCUAAUCCGUAAUUACAUAAAUGUUUGUCUUAAAUUAUCAAUAUUAAACAUAUCGCUACAAUUUAAGGAAAAUAUCAAAAAACGUAGUGAAAACUAUCCUUAAAAUUUACCAAAAUUUCACUUUAAUUACGUACCCUUUAUCUAUUAUUCAUAAAUUUUUAACUAAAUUUAGUAUCUUUACUAACUUUAAAAUAUUAUAAAUUCAGUUGAAUAUAUACAAGAUUGAUACUAAUUCAUCAAAACAAAUUAAACUACGUAAAAACUUGACAAAAAAUAUCAGUUUAAUUUAACCAAAGUAAACUAAAGAAUUUAGUCCCUUAAUAAAAGUGCAUAUUAUAUAUUAGUUUUUAGUUUACCAUUUCUAUUUAAGAAUAACAUGAGGACUGAACAAUAUAUUAUUCAUAAUUAGGGCAACAAAACUUGCAGGGACCAACCUGCAAUAUCAAAACAGUACAGGGACUAUCCCAUACUUUUUUCUCUUUAGCACAGUCAAGUCAAUAUGACAGAGACCUUUCAGUUAAUGAGUCAAACAAUUAAACAGCACAAAGACUUAAUUAGGUCAAGUAAACUUGUACAUUUUCCAUUUUAUUUAUGAAAUUUAAUAAGUGCAUAAAAUUAUAUAAGUGUCCUUUUUCUAAAUUCGUUGUUUUUCAUAAAAUAGAUGAACUGUGUGAUUGAAAUGUGAGAUGAGAUUCACGAUGAGUCACUAAUCAUUUCUUUUACUACUGAAAAAGCGGAUCCUCUUUCAGAAGUUCGUGAAGUACAUGGUAGCAAAGCAUUACUAAAAGAAUGGGUUAGUUUCAUAUAGUUCCUGCAAACAAAAUAAUUACAAAUAUAUUUUUAUAAAGUUCAAUUUUUAUAUGUUGUUUUUUUAAAAAAUUUUAAUAUUUUCAAAUAUAUCCGUCUGGUUUAUUACUGUUAAACCACUGUUUAUUUUAUAACUGAAAUGACCUUUUUGCCAUCAUAGAUAUGUCCCUCUAAAAAUUUCAACUGUUAAUUAAAAAUAGGUAAAAAGGUCAAUUCACCUCAUUGAUUAAUUAGGAUUAUAAGUAUUUUACAUAUAGUUAACUAAUUUUUUCUAACAAAUCUUAACGGUUAGGAUAUAUCUGAAGAUAUUAGGUCUUUUGCAGGGAAUUGUAUAAAAUUAACCUCUAAAAGAAUCAGCGAUUAAGUGCGUGCUUGUUUUGCCGACAGUGUUGUUUAGAUUGAAAUAGAUUUUAAGUCGAACCGGAGUUUAAGUGAAAUUUUUUUUUCUAUUAUUUAUUUCCAUUAGUGUGUAGUUGAAGUUUUUUGAGGUUUAUUAUUUGUUUGCCAGAAAGUCAAUGACACAAAAGUUGAAAUUUUUAACUUUUUACAUUUGUUUCACCUAAAACUAUUCAAUUCGCACAUAUUAAUAUCAAAGGGGGGAAACAAGUUUUCCACAUUAAUUUUAUUAUUUUUUUCUCUCUUUUUUUUGUUUUUGAUUUCAACCCGUGGUAAGGCAAAGUCAAUUAUAUUAUUUGGGAGAGUUUGAAUUACAACCGAAUUCAUAUUGCAACGAGGCAAACCUUGAAGGUGGGUAUUUAUGAUCGAAAAUCACUUCAUUCCUCUCCACUUUCGGCGAAGCAGACACACUGUUAAUUUAUUUCUUUGCUACAAAAAUUUGGUGCUCUGGGGAAUUAGGAAAAGAAAAAAAAUAAUACUAUAUAUGUAAUCAAACUUCAGGGUCUAUAAAAAUGUAAUUCAGCGCUAGUUAAUUACUAUGAAUUCCAUAUUCAAAUGGGUUCAGAUACAUAACCUUAAUUUAGCCGUUUUGUAAAACAGUCCCUUGAACUUUCAAUUCUCUCAAUCACAUACCUUUUAUAAUUUUAUGAAUUACUUAUCUCUACAAACCUAAUUAACAUAUUUUAUUCAAUUCAUAUUACUCCGCAAAUUCAUAAUUAACUUAAAUUUUAUACUGAAAAAAUCAUAAAGUGACUUGAAUCACCAAAUUGAAAGGUCACAUACUGAAAAUCAAAAUUUUGAUAAGUUAGGUAUUCGAUUGAAAAUGGGAUAUAGUUCAAGCAAGUUUUGUAAACUUUUAUUUUUAUUUUGUUUUCAGGAAAAUAAUUUAAAAGUUGAAUAUGAUACUUCAUGUUUUAAACAUUAAUUUUUAACACUUCUUAUAUAAACUUCUUGAUCGGCGAAAUGAAUAAGAUGCCCCGAACAAAUAAUUUUUACACCCAACAAGGUUUGUACGUUAAAUGUAUAUGACAAAAUUAAGAAUCGUGCAUGAGUUUUGAAAAUACUGGUGUAAAAGAAAAGCACUCAAAACAACAAGUCCAAUACUUACCAGUAUGGGAAACUCCAAUUAAGCACCCUAUAAUAUAGCAUAUUUGUAACUCACUACCGCAUAGUUUAUAUAAUGUAGUAUUUUCCUUAAGAUGGCACUAAAAAGGUGGCAAAAUGUUACAUUUUACUACGCUAUAGUUUAGGACACUCUUUUUAAAAGCAAGUCCUCAUAGGAACUAAACUAAAAACAACCCACACAAAAGGUGCUUCUUUCUAAACUACAAUAUAGACCAAAAAUAUUCUACACCACGUACGGAAGGGCAUUUUUAAGUUUUCCCUCUAAAUAUUCAAAAAUUUUGAAAUACCAUGUAAUUUAUUUCUCAUAAUUAAUGCUACUAUUGCAAUGAAAUUAUACAAAACAGAAGUGAAAUACUAAAAAGACCAACCACACCUUACAUUAAUAAAGAUGCUACUCUUCCAACUACCUCAUCUCCUAUAUCUUUGUCUUGGUCUAGCCAAAGUUACUUUAGUUACAAUACAAAGCUGGUCACAUACAAUAUCAAUCAUAGAGAAAUAAGCAUUCCUCCAAGCAUUAUUGAGCAACAAAACCCCACAAAAAACUGCUAAACCGAAUAGAUAUCCCAGUACAACACCAAAGUAUAUCCAUAGCCACUCAAACUUAUCCUUAGGGCCUUCAUUAUCCUCAUAAUUUAUUUCAUUUGCAGAACAAUUUCUCGUACUCGGUGGCCCGCAGAGAUAUGGAUUGCCGAUGUAAAUGAAUGGAUCGUCAAGGGUCUGCAACUGAUUUCCUGUUGGAAUUACUCCCGAGAGAUUAUUAUACGACAAAUUUAAGUGGCUCAGAAAAGUCAGUGCCGAAAGACUUUGAGGAAUAUCACCGAAAAGCUUAUUCAUUGCAAGGUCUAGAGAUUCCAGUGAUUGCAUUUCACCGAUUUUUUCUGGAAUAUGUCCAAUCAAAUUAUUCCUAGAUAAGUUUAAAUAUUGUAGUGUAUGCAGAUCAGUAAUCUCAUCCGGGAUCUCCCCACUUAGAUUGUUGUCUGAAAGAUCUAUGCUUUCAAAUAGAUAGAGUAUCUUCCAAAUUGGAAGCUCCUCUCCCUUAAUAUCCAAGGAUAUACUAACUGAAUAAUAUACACUGAUAUUAUUAAUUCUAUCUGUUCUGCCUUGUUUUAAAGCUUUCCAGCUGAAAUUGCCGAAGGAUCGUGGUAAUGGUCCUGAUAAGUUAUUCCUAGAAAGAUCCAAAACUUGGAGAGAGCCAAGUUGUGCAAUUUGCUCCGGAAUGCCGCCAGAAAACAUAUUUGAACGUAACUGAAGAACCAUAAGAAGAGUUAAACUUUCCCCGAUCCAAAAUGGUAUUGUUCCAGAAAACUUAUUAUAUCCGAGAUCAAGGAUAACCAAACCUGUGCAAUUUUGCAACGAAGGAAAUUCUCCAGAGAAACCAUUACUAUUAAAUUUUAGCAGCGAAAUAUAUUUCGACGAGCAAAGGGAGUCAGGGAUCCUCCCAACAAGAUUAUUUGUUGACACAUCUAUAACAGAAAGGUACUCUUGUGACUUCCCGAUACAUUCAGGAAUUUCUCCUGACAAGUUGUUGUUUGAUAGAUCGAGAACUCCCAAAAAAGUUGAUUCACAUAGAGCAGAUGGUAUACGACCACCAAUGUCAUUAUUUGACAAGAAUAAGUAUUCUAUCUGUGGCAAUACAAUGUUUGGAAGUACUCCAGUGAAAAAAUUAUUGGAGAGAUCAAUGAUUAGAAGAUUAUGUGGUAGAGAUGGUAGCGGGCCUUCAAAUUGAUUUGAGCUCAAAUUCAAGUACCAUAGCUUUGUAGAGCCCAUCAAUAAUGGCAAUCUCCCUUUGAUUUGGUUUUCGGAAAGAUGUACAUAAGAAAUAAAAUGAGACAUAUUUCAAAACCAGCUAGGAAGAGUAUCUGCAAUUUUGCUUUUUGACAAAUCCAGCCCUUCAAGUUGCGAUUGACUUUUGAGCCAUGCUGGAAAAUUGGGACCCAGUUGGCAGGAGGCUAGAAAAAUCUCUUUAAGUUGGAAAGGAGGAACCCAAUCAUCGUGAACUCGCACAGUGAGAGCAUUCAAUGACAAGUCUAAGUAUUGUAUUUUUCUUAGAUAAGAAAGUUCGACAUCAGAUACGACACCCUCCAAUGAAUUAUUAUAUAGAUAUAGAUAAAUUAAAUUUGGAAGUUUCCAAACUCCUGCAGGAAUUGAACCACUGAGCAAGUUUGAACCGAGAUUUAUGUCUGUGAGGCUAUUCAUUUGUUCGAGCCAUCCUGAUAAAUUCCCUCCGAGGUUAUUGUCAUUGAGAUAUAAAGUCUGUAAAUUGUUGCGCACACAUCGUGGUAGCAUCUCAACCCAUUCCAUGAUUUCCCCACCAAUAUUGAAACUUGACAAAUCUAGUGAACGCAAGUUGCAUAAAUAUCUUAAUGCUUUCGGAUUCAUACCUUUAAAACCAUUAUAUCCUAGGAAAAGAUUAUUAAGAGUGCUCAAACGUAGAAACUCAUCAGAAAUAACACCAUGAAACUCAUUGGAGCUUAAGUCAAGAUAAGUGAUGCUUGUAAGAUUCCGCAGCCAUGGAGGUAAGGUGGAGUUUAUGGAGUUACCUCCAAGAUCAAGCACAUUGAGAGUUGUAAGAUUGAAAUGUGACAGAGAUGUAGAAAUGCCAGGAAGUGAACAGUCAGCCAAAUGUAACACUUUCAACGAAGGAAGCAUAUUUACAGCAUGCAACCAACCUGUAGAAGUAUUCAUAUUCACAAUGCUCAAAUCAAGAUAUUUCAAGGAAGAUAAACGAGUGAGCCACAAUAUGUCAUCUAUUCGAAGAUUCCUCGGAUAAAUGAAUUCAGAAUUUAAAUCAAGGUAGUGAAGUUUCGAGAGAUUUCCGAUUUGAGGAGGUAUUGUUCCACUGGAAUACGAAUUAGCGAGGUUGAGAUAUCUCAAGUUUUUGAGUGAACCCAAGAAUGUUGGGAUGCUGGUUCCACUGAAAUUGUUCAUGCUGACAUCUAAGUGCUCUAAAUUGGUUAAAAGAAGCAAAGAUGGAUUGAUCUCACCGCUCAAACAUGGGCAUUCCUCGAUGAAUAUAUAACACGAGUUUCUGUUUCGGAGGUUGAGUUUCACAACAUGGCCCGUGGCAUUGCUACAGGCGACUCCCCUCCAUUUACAGCAAUCUUCGCCUUCCCACGAAGACAAGAAAUUCUGAGGAUCGACCAAGCCGGACUUAAACGUGAGGAGUGCGUUCCUCUCUACCUCCAUGCAACCGCUCGCCACAACGGCGUCGACGGUUAAAAUCCACAGCAAGGAGGAGGAAAGAAUAAGAUUAGCCAUGACGCAGGUCGUUGAGAAAAUACACAACAUCAUAAUUAAUAAGGGAAUUGAUCAUAUGGAGUAUUCUAUGGAGAAGGCCACCUAUUUGAGCCAUAUAUAUAUAUAUAUAAAUGUUAUGCAUGGUAAGCUAUCGCAAUUCACAUCAAAGUUACGUUCCAUUAUUGUAUGGAGUCAUAAUUCUCCUGUAGGUCCUACAAAGAAAAUUAAGCUACAGUUGUGUGAUUUUCAUGGUCAUACAAAUUAAUGGCCUGAUUAGGAUUGCAUUGAGCUUUGACUUGAAAAUUAAUUUUGCUAGAAGCUAAUUAAUUUUUUAGAUUAAAACUGAUUCAGAAUGAAGUAGUCUUAAUUAUUACGAAUAUAUAGCAUUAAUUUGGCCACAAAGUACCAAAAGCUGUUGUACAAUAUAUUUAAAAGUGAUUCAUAACACGUUUGGUAAUUACAAAUUAAAAAGUUGUUUUAAAUCACCAAAUGACAAAAAGUUAUAAAUGUCAAAUAUUUAUUUUUAUAUAAUUUUUUUAACUAAAAUUGUAAGUAUAUGAGUUUAAUACGCAUAGUUCAUGAUUGAUGAUAAAUCUAGUUAAAAUAUUAAAUAUAUUAUUAAUACAGUAAAAUUUAAUUAGUAAGUAAUAAUUAUAAAUUCAAGUGAAAACUACAAACCUCUCUAAACCAUUGAGGAUUUUGAGAUUCAUACCUAAGGUUUUAAAAUUUUGAUUUUAUUAUCUAACUUCAUAUUUUUUAUGAUUUCGAGAAAAAAAAAGAAAGAAUACUAGAAUUGAGUACUCUACAGUAAAAGAGGAUUAGAGAAUAUUCCCAAAAACUAAGAAUAUUCUGUUAUACUAUAAAAAUUCUCAGCAGAACAAAUCAAAGUUACUAUUAGAUUUCGUAUAAAUUUAAAUUACAUACAUUUUAAAAUUAGAUAGCUUAAAUAAAAAUGUCCAAAGUUUAAGUCUUUUUNNNNNNNNNNNNNNNNNNNNNNNNNAUGAGAUAUUUGCUAGUUUAACGGUGAAAAAGAAUCAGAAUAGGUUGAAUUUUUGAUAGAAAAUUUUAUUCACUAUCUAAAUAAAGAUCAAUAACUCCGAUCUUAAAUUGAAGGAUCCGUUCAUCCAUUUUUAGGAUGUCGUUCGAUUUCAAUCGUUCAUUUUAUGUCCGCUUGAUGGACUUUACAAUGAUUUCGAAAAAUUACGAAAUUUAUUUUCUAAAAGUUUCAAAUAUUCUAGAUCAUGUUUAACGGUGUGGAUCGUCGAUUCGAAAACUCCAACAUCGAAAACAACUUAUGAGUACAAAGGGUUCUUUACUCAUAAGAGUAUAGUAGCCCUACUCUAAUUAUUGGAAAAACUUCAAAAACCCCCUCUGUGGUUUCACACUUUUUCAUUUUAGUACCCUGUGGUUUAAAGCGUAUCAAGUUAGUACCUUGUGGUUUCUCACUUUAUCACUUUAGUACCCUGUGGUUUAAAGUGUAUCAAGUUAGUACCCUGUGGUUUUGCAUUUUAUCACUUUAGUACCAUGUGGUUUUGAUUUUGUAUCAAAUUAGUACCUUGUGGUUUUUUAAACUAUAGGGUACUAAAGUGAUAACGUGUGAAACCACAGGGUACUAAAGUGAUAAAGUGCAAAACCACAGGGUACUAACUUGAUACACUUUAAACCACAGGGUACUAAAGUGAUAAAUUGAGAAACCACAGGGUACUAACUUGAUACGCUUUAAACCACAGGGUACUAAAAUGAAAAAGUGUGAAACCACAGAGGGGGUUUUUGAAGUUUUUCCAAUAAUUAGAGUAGGGCUACUAUACUCUUAUGAGUAAAGAACCCUUUGUACUCAUAAGUUGUUUUCGAUGUUGGAGUUUUCGAAUCGACGAUCCACACCGUUAAACAUGAUCUAGAAUAUUUGAAACUUUUAGAAAAUAAAUUUCGUAAUUUUUCGAAAUCAUUGUAAAGUCCAUCAAGCGGACAUAAAAUGAACGAUUGAAAUCGAACGACAUCCUAAAAAUGGAUGAACGGAUCCUUCAAUUUAAGAUCGGAGUUAUUGAUCUUUAUUUAGAUAGUGAAUAAAAUUUUCUAUCAAAAAUUCAACCUAUUCUGAUUCUUUUUCACCGUUAAACUAGCAAAUAUCUCAUACCGUUCGUUAAAAAUUGUCAAUUUUGUGAGCUUUUAAUCGUAAGGUAAAUGAUAUCGAAAAAUUAUAAAAUUUAAUUUCUAAAAGUUUUAAAUGCUCUAAAUAAUGUUUAACGGUAUGGAUCGUCGAUUCGAAAGCUCUAUCAAUAAAAACAACUUAUAAGUACGAAAGCGAUCGUACUCAUAAGAAUAUAGUAGCCGGACUCAUAAUAAUUAAAUUUAAGCACUUUAAGCAGAUGGUUUGAAUCCAACAAGUUAUUAUUACUGGGAAAUCAAGUCGUAACAAACUCAAUGUUGUGUACUUAAUCGAUUUUAUACUUCCAAUUUUCACUCCUAGAUGUGAUGAAACCUAACAAAAACUGGGAUCUUGAUCCCCGACAAUAGGACUAAAGAACUAAAUAUGCAGGUAUAACAAACAAUAUACAAAAAAAUUCUACUAACAGAAAUAGGAAAGAAAUAUAAUGUCGCUACUUAUGUAAACGAAGAUAGAUUUCUUUCAGACUACUAAAUCAAAUGAAAGAAAAGAAAUGCAAGGCAAGAUCAAUUUCAUUCUUCGAAAGAUUCUGUCAUAUACACAAAUAGGUUACUACAGAAGAAUCUACUAUCACAAAAACAGAUCAUACCGAUAAGUUUGUGGGGAUCACAAGCGAGACAUCAGAUGGCGGGUGUAAGAAUGAAGUAAUCUUAUUUCAGAGAAGAUGUUACACUCAAAAGCAAGUGCCCAGGAUAAUUUAGAGCACUCACCAAUAUUAGGCAUAGGAAAAAAAAAACACUCAAACACCUAACAUAACUUCAAAACCCCACAAUGUCAUCGCAAUCAUAUCGUAAAUGUUCUCUCUCUACAUAGUUAAGAAAGAAAAUAUAGCAUUAGGAUUUGACCUGAUUUUACAGCUUCAUUGGAAAUAAUCUCAUCACUUAUGAAGCAGCAAAACUAAUCACACUCAAUAGUAUCAUGAUUCUGGGAGAAGUUCAAUCUGAUCCUUCUGCUUUUGCUGUUGUUCCCUUUUCUUCAACUCAUUCUCAUAUUUGGCUAGCCUCUCCUUCAUCUUUUCCUGCAUAAAAACUCUGCCUCAGAACAACAAAGGAAAUAUGCAAAGCGAGAAAGGAACUCAAAAGAGAGGACAUGGAUUUGCCUUGUAACUCUUCUCAACCCGGUGCAUGACAUAGAAGCCGAGGACUCCGCCAAGGAUAGUCCCGGUUAUGAUUCGAAUGUACGCCCACUUGUACGACACCAUCUCUUUCGGUCCUUCCUUUUCCUUCGAUACUAGCUACUAUCUGUGCGCAUGCAACGCAUAUUUUGGAAAAAGAAAACAGAAAUUAUUUUGGGUAAAAAUUUCUAACUUACAAAGCAAAUAUAAUUUGGAGAGAGGUUGGUGUUGGGUAAAAAAAUAUGUUUUGCAACUUAUAAUGCAAUGCCCAAGGAGGUUGGCGUUAGCUUUCACUUAUUACCUAAAUGAUUCAAGGCUUUCUUUUUAGUAUCUUGAGGUAAGAGACAAUGAUGGAUUAACUUGUAUUCAAAACACUGCAACAUUUAGAGUCCAACGAUUUCAUUAAAAAGUAAUCAAGUAUCCAGGCACCACUAUCCUCAGAUCAAAUAAGCAAAAAAACAUAAAACAAAUGACAAAUGAAACGGCACUACAAUUACUUGAUAUGCUUUUCAGUAAAUUUACCAAAUACUUUCCUUCCUUGCCACUCUCACACUAUCAUUUCUUUAAUUCGUCUUUAUGCUAUUUGCAAUUCAAAAAGUCAUAUUAUCCAAAUUGCUAAAUCCUUUCCCGAAAUUCUGAGUAAAAUUUAAUGAGAAAAGUAAAGAACAUAAAAUACAAACAAAAGUAAAGGAAGCCCCCAUCUUGUUCAGCUCAAAAACAUAGUUUUAAAAGGCGCAAAGGACUCCUGACCCUAAAUGCCGGGCAAAAUCAAGCAAGUUAGACACACAUUUUCACAGUUUUUGAAGAUAAAUAGAACACUCCUUAGAAGUUCUAGUAGUAAUCAUUGAAUGAAACUAACGCACUUUAAAAUCAGGUUAUAGCUCUAUUAAAUAUUUAAGAUCACUCAAUAAGAUUUGUGAACAAAUGUGUGGCUCAAAUCAAUGCAUAUAUCAAAGAGAGAAAAAAGACAGUUAGAGGGCACAAAAUUUGAAACUGCUUCGGAACUUCCCUUCUCCUAUGCUUUAAAAUGGCGGCAGGAACCACCAUCACCAAAUGCUUCUUUGGCGACUGUUCCCACCGCAUCGGAGGAGAGAAGCUACAAAGCGCUUCUACAACUAUUUUGGUGCAAUGAACUAGGCCUUACAUUCCCAAACUAGGCUCUAGCUUAGAAAAUUAGAAUUAUCAAGAAAAACAAUGAAAAACAUUUGUUUGGUAUCGUUGCCGUUUUUUUCUAUUUUUUAAAAAAAUAGAAUUUUUACAUGAAAUAGUACAGAAAGGGAUAGUGGAUUGCUUGCAAUUCUUACAUUCACGAUAUUUGCUCAGCAAAGAAAAAAAAAGAAAAAAAAAAAGCAACUUCUUUUUUUUCCAUGAUUUUUGUCAUCCAUUACUCGGCCGAAGUGUAUUAUUACAAGCUAACCAAUCAUGACGAAUUUUUUAUAUAGAAUUAGUGUUUCAACAAAAUAAGAUCGAAAAAAAGAGGGGGCAAUGAUGCCAAAUGAGGCCUAAAACCUAUUAAUUAUAAUUAGAGCUCAAAACAGCAGGAAUUAGACUAAAAUUUGUUCAUCUCCAACUAUGUUUAAACAAAAUUACGCAAUUAUAUUGCGCAAAAGCUAAAUAGAAUCCAAUUUACAUGAUGAGCCAAACAUUACAUUACACAAGAAAAACACAAACCCAAAACCCUAAAAACAGCAGGAGCAACUACAGAUAAGCAAAAUUGUGUACUCACAUCAUCAACACAAAAGCUAAAUAGAGUUCAAACCCAAAGAUUACAUGAGAGAAACUCAAAAUCCUAAACCCUAAUUUAUGAAUCAACCAUUAAUAAAAGGCAUGAAACUCCCUAUCUUUUUCCCUUCCAUAUUCUAUUAGAAAGGUUUAGGAGAUGAUGGAGUUGGGCAGGGUAGUCUGACCUUGCGAUGGCGACGGUGGGCGUCGGAUGGGAAGGAAGACAGCACGAUUUGCAGUCGGAUGAUCGAGCCGCCUGCCUUCCUUGUUCAGCUCGACGCAGAAGGCAGUCUCACGUUUGGCUCAAGAAAAAGAGCGAUGCCUUCCUUGUUUCACUCCAAAACUGGAAAGACAUGUUAUUCGGGUUAAUUGCAUACAGGUCCAUAUAAACAUAAUAAAUUACAAAUACAUUUCUACAAAAUUUAUUUUUCACAUAUUGUUUCUGUAAAAGUCAUGAUUUUUCCAAAUAUAUUCUUGCUGUUAAAAAAAUUUAGUUAACCAUAGGCUAAAUACUUAAUCUUGAUUAGUUAAUGAGAUGAAUUGACCUUUUUAUCUAUCUUAAAUUAAUAAUAAUUGGGACUUUUUGAAGGGCAAAUUUGUGAUGACAAAAAGGUCAUUUCACUUAUAAAAUAGAUGGACUUUAACAGUAACAAAUCAGAGAGACAUAUUUGAAAAUAUUAAGACUUUUAUAACGACAAUAUUUAAAAAUUAAACUUUAUAGCGAUAUAUUUGUAAUUCACUAUAUUUAUAAAGAUCUGUAUGAAAUUAAUCCUUAUUAUUUAUUUAACUGUAAUUUUAUUUUCGUCAAAAUUUAAACUCUAGUAAUUAACUUUAGCCCAACUCAGGCCAAAAUCAAUUAUGAAAACAAAAAGUUGAAAAAAAAAUAAAAUACUAACUCAUAUUUCACACCUUUAAUUUUUCCGUGUCAUUCGCUUUCUUUCAAAUAAAUAUCAAAACUGAAAAAAAAUUUAGUUCCACCACCAUACAAAUAAAUACCAGAAGAAAAUUAAUUUUUAUUUGAAUUUCAGUUUCAUUCAAAAGUUUACUUCAAUCUCAAUUUCAUUUUCGGUGAAACAAAUAGACCACAGGUGUAAGAAGGUAAAAUGUACAGAACAUAUCUCAAUUAUAGACCAUUUUAAAUUGACUAUCAAAUCUUUUAAAAUUUUAAUUUUAUUGUCCAAUCUGUUAAUUUGUUUGAUUGACUCUGUCAGCAAUACUUUAAUUUCAAAUUUUGAAUACGCCGUUAUCUUUACCAGUUCAAUUAGUAUACUUCAUACAAUUCUCGCUACUAUAAUUUUAUUAAAGUGAACAGUUAACUUAAAUUUUGAGAUUAAAGGUCGCCAACUGACUUAUAUCAAACAAAUUGAAAGAUUAAAUAGUAAAUUCAAAAUUUUGAAUUUCAAGAUAAUACAUUAGGUCAGGUAAGUUAUACACUUGUUUAGCGUGCAAGAAUUACUCUCCACUCACUAAUAAAGGUUACUAUUUUCGUAGUAGUAUUAUUAACUUUUUUUCUUUUAAUACUAAAAAGAAUUUUGUGAACCCUAACACUCCGUUUGGAUUGAAUAUAAGAUGGGUUUGGAUUGAAUAUAAGAUGGGGUAUAAAGGCCUUAUACCCCAUCUUGUACCCAAACGCAAUUUGGUUAAGGUGAGAACUAUACGGAUUAUUCUAGAAAUAACCCGUUAAGGAUGGGAACUAUAGUUCUCAUCCCGAGUGGGAACAAGCUUAGGAACAAGCUUGUUCCCACCCACUUGGGUACAGAGAGAGAGAGAGAGAGAGAGAGUGAGUGAGUGAGGUUUGUUUUAAAAUAGAAUUUAAAUUUUUUAGAAUUUAAAAUAUGUAAUUUUAAAAUUAAAAUUGUAAAUCAUAAAUUCUAAAUUUUAAAGUUUAAAAUUUAAAUUUGAUAUUACAAAUUUUUAAAUUUUAACUGUGAUAUUUUAACUAUUUCAAAUUUAAAUUUGGUCUUAAAUUUAAAUUUUAAAAUUUAUAAAUUUAAAUUUUAAAAUUUAUAAAUUUAAAUUUUUAAAUUCAAUUAUAGGAAUAAUAUCAUUAUUUUCUAUUUAUAAUUAUCAACUAUUUCUCUUAUACCAAAUAACUAUCCAAAUAUAAUUUUUCUAGUUCCAGCUUAUACUAAUAUUUUAAUCCAAACAAAAUAAAUACCCUGAUUCUUACAAAAAUUCAUACUUAUACCUAUUUCUGGAAUAACUAGUUCCUACUAAUUUACGAACCAAACGAAGCCUAAAGAUUACUUCACAUUUAUAUAUGUAUUUAUUCUUAAAAUAUGCUCCUUCUCUCUCUCUCUCUCUCUCUCUCUCUCUCUCUCUCUCAAUAAAAGAAAAAACAAAACAAAAGAAACUUUUUUUUUUUUUUCGUACAUUAUGCUGGGCCAUUUUCUCUGGUUCUACAUGGUCUAAGUAGCCUGGAUCCCAAUGGCCCAUUUUUAUAUCUUCCUUAGAAAUCAGGGAGGUGCUUAUAAUUGAUGUGUUUUGGACUAGUUCUGUCGUUUUGGGCCUCGCCCUUUUCUCUCUUUCUUUGGCUAUUUUUUUUCUUUCUUUUUUGCUAAGAGCUCAAACAUAAAUAAUCCUAUAACAAGUAGUAAAAAAGGUAAAAGAUUUAUUUAUACUGCUAAAUUGAUGCGGAAUAGGAUUUAGUUUUCAGGUUGAUUGGAUUCUAAUGAUAUGUCACAUUCUUGGGUCUAUAUGGGCUUUAGCUCAGCCAAAAUUUUCUAAUAAAUAGUAUCAGAGUCUAUAGAUUGAUCCUGAAUUAGCCGCUCAUUUAUGUAUUGUAGUAUAUAUAGUGGCCUAUUUAUGUGGUAUAUUUUUUGAUACGCUCAAAAGAGUUAAAAAUAGCUGAAGUCCCCAGAAGUGUGGGCUAGCUGUAUGUACUUAGAAUUUUCUCUUCUUUUUUAUUAGGUAUUUUAUGCGCUUAUAUAUGUUCUGGAAAUCGUGCUCAAUGAAUUUAAAAAUAUAGUGGUUGUUUCAGAGUGGUUCAAGAUCACAAGCUUGUUUGGGAGCAAGAUUAUGGUGAUUGAUUUUGCUUACACUUUUCUUCCUUUUUCUUUUUCCUGUGUUUAAUUACAUCUAUGAGCUUGAUUAUGUGAUAGUUCAUGUUUAGGUUUAGAGAACCAUUUCAAGUCUUUUUUCGUUUUCUUUUUUCUUUUUUUACUUCUCUUACUUAGGUAUGGAUACUAUCAUCUAUAUUCCCUAUUUUUAUUUAUAUUAAGUUUUAAGAAUACUUGCAUAUUUUUCUUAAUCUAUUUUUAUCUAUAACCCAUUUAGGGUGCCAUAAGAUGCCUGGAGCUUACUAAUGUGUCGGAAUGAAUACGAAAGAUGUUUGUGGGUCGGACGGCAUUUAAUUUGAGAAGAACUUGUGAUGUUUUUGUGGCUUGCUUUGAGGGCAACAAGAAUGGUCGGUCUGAUAUAAGAAACGAAAUGUACUUCUCGAUAGAGAAAUUAUUUGUUGGGAACUCGGUGGAGUUUAAUGAACAAUUCAAUAUAAGACGUGAUACUGAUUAUUAAGGCUCGCAAGGAGCACGCAUUGGCUAAAACACAUCUACAUUAAUAUUUUACCGUUUCCUAAUCAAAACUCAGAAAGGCUGGUCUAAAUGUGCGGUACUUAAUUAGAAGCCGCACAUAAAUCCACAUGCCAAAUCAAUUUGUUCUUAUUUUUAUUUUUUUAAAAAAAAUGAGCUUUUUAUUGUUGGCUUAAAUGGACCAGCAUUCUGCCCUGUGACAGGAGAUUAUGUUGGACCGAGUCAUAUUCGAAAUGGCGUGAGGCUGGAUGGGCCGAGUCAUGUUCGAAGUGAUGUAAGGCUGAUUGGGCCGAGUCAUAAUCGGGACCCGUGGAUACUGCAUCUGUACAUUUUAAGUGAAUUGAUUGUGUAUUUCUAACAGCUCGAGCUUUUGAGAUUAAUAGUUAACGCCAACGAUCCGACACUCAUCACUUUCCUCCUAUUUACCCUCUUUUUAAAAAAAAAAAUUUGUAAUCAAGGAUGGAUCAUUUAUUUAUGGAAAACUUCAAAUACCCCCAUGUGGUUUUGCAGUUUCUCACUUUAGUACUCUGUGGUUUAAAGUAUAUCGAGUUAGUACCUUGUGGUUUCGCACUUUCUUACUUUAGUAUCCUGUGGUUUAAAGUGUAUCAAAUUAGUACUCUGUGAUUUCAUUUUUGUAUCAAGUUAGUACCCUGUGGUUUUAUUUUUCUCUUUUUAUUAUCCAUUUCGAAAUUUUUUUUUCGUUAAAUCAGUGACAAAGUUAAAACUAAAGGGUACUAAAAUAAAUAUUCGAUAAACCUAGGUAAAGUAUCUGAAGUUUUUUUUGUAUAUAAUUUAACGAAAUAUUAAACCACAUGGUACUAAAAUGAGAAAGUGCGAAACCACAGGGUACCAACUUGAUACAUUUUAAACCACAGAAACUAAAGUGAGAAAGUGCGAAACCACAAGGUACUAACUUGAUACACUUUAAAUUACAUAGUAUUAAAAUAAAAAAUAGAAACUGCAGUAGGUCUGGCAAAUGAGGCGAGCGGCUCAUGGUUCGAACUGCGUUCGGCUCGAAUUCGGCUCGCUUUGAGUCGGCUUUGAAUUAAAUUUCAAGUCGACUUGAAGCUAAAUUAGGCUCGAAUUAAUUUCAAGCCAAGCUUGAGUAUUACCGGCUCGCUUCGAAUUAGCUCGAAAAAACUCGAUAUUAUAUAUAUAUUCUAUAUACUAUAUAUAUAUAUAAUAUAUAUAUAGAGAGAGAGAGAGAAGAGAGCAGAGAGAGAGAGAGAGAGAGAGAGAGAGAGAAAGAAAGUCUAUUAUAUAUAUAAUAGCACCCAACACGUGCUAUUAGGUUUUCGCGGCCUUGGAGAAGGGAUGUCGGUUAAGGAUAAGCGAUUCUAUGUAUGAGUUGAGUGGUGGUUAGUUGAAUAGUAGAUCUAAGUGAGUGAAAUGGUUCAACGAUAGAUCUAACGGCCAAAAUAAUCGACCAGCACUGAAGCAUUUGGUAUUAUCGAUAAUUAGUAGCCGGGCUUCUCUCUCUCUAUAUGUAGUCCGCAUUAUAAUCUAUCUAUAGUAGCUAAUUACUUUUGUGUUAUCAGUUUUCUGCUAUUAGAUCUACCUAAAAUAUAGAGUCGGUAUAAUAUACCUUAUGGCAUAAUACCAAGCAUUUAAUGCUAUCGAGUUUUUCUGCCGUUAGAUCAUACACGCUUUGGCCAUUUUCAUUAUUAAUCAUACUAUUCAUUGAUUCCACCUCCCUCAUCUAGAGGGCUACUAUAUCCUUGACCAACAUUCCUUCAUUCUAAGGCCCGAAAACCUCAUAGCAAUAAUUGAUACUAUUAAAUAAUAUUGAACGCGUAAUUAUAUAUAUAGUAUAUAUAUAUUUUUAUAUAUAGCUAGGCUACUAUAUUCUUAUAAAUAUAGACCCGUUUUAUACUUAUAAAUUUACGCUGUUAGGACUGUGCAAUUAGGAUAAUAGUGAUCCCCUAGGAUUGAGUGGGUGGUUGGUUGAAUAGUAUGAUUUACGGUUGGAAAUGGUCAAAAGUAUAUAUUUGACGAUAAAAAACUUAUGAGUGUAAAGAGAUCUAUACUAAUAGAGUAUAGUAGCCGAACUCUCUCUCUAUAUAAUUAUAUAUAAUAUAUAUUUUAAUUAUAGAAAUUUAUAUUAUGUAUUUUAAUUGCAUGUAUAUAGAAUUUAGAUUAUUGGGCCCAUAAAAUCAAACCAGCAAAAUGCUACUUUAAUUGCUCUUUCUUUCUCUUUUUCACUCGCUUAUAGAGUUGUUUUUUCUAAUUUUUUUAAUAUUAUAAUAUUGUAUUUCAUGCAUUCAUUUUGUAUGUUGAGCUAUUAGACAUUUUUUGUAUCGAAUUUUAGAUAAUAUUUUAUAAAAAUUAAACUAUAGAUUGUACGAUGUUAAGAAUUUCAAGCAGCUCGUUUAGGGCUCGAGCUCGCUCGACUCGAAAUUAGGGUCACUGGAGCUCGGCUCGAAUUAAUUUCAAGCCGAGCUUGAGACUAAAUUUAGGCUUGAAAUUAAUUUCAAGCUAAACUUGAGCUGAGGUAAGCUCGCUCGAGCUCGGCUCGUUUCCACCCUUAACUACAGGGUAUUUAAAGUUUUUUCUUUAUUUAUUUAUUUACAUCAUGUGUUCAAUGCUCAGCCGCCCACCAACCUCUUGUUUUCUCAACGAACGCGCGUGGUACGCGUGCUGGCAAGUCAAUUCUUGGAGUGCGACCAUUGAUUUCUUCAUCCUCCAACUCCCUCCAUUAUUUUUUUCGCCUCCUAUACUCCACUCUACUCACAUUUAUUAAAAGCAUAUGGUACUGCUUCGUGCUCAAAAUUUAUCAUUACAUUACAUGUUGUGACAUAUGGAUCAUAAAAUAUAUAUAUAUAUAUAUAUAAUUAUUAUUUUAUUUAGAUUAUAUAAAUAAACAUAACAAUGUAUUAUAUAACCGCUGCAUAAUUACUAUUAUAUUAUGUUUCGAGCUCUGCCUAUUGCCACAUCAGCAAUACGUUACCGUUUAGACAACUAAGGAGCUGUUUGGUUGGAUGUAGUUACAAAAAUAGUAUAGUUGGAAAUAUAUGCAGUUGUAAAUAUUACAGUUAUAACUGCUGCAGUUAUAUUUCUUCUACUUGGUAGUCUGCUGUUGAGAUUUGCAUUUAUAAAUUCUGUCAAAUUUUAGAUAGAAAAGUAAGAUUAUCUCUUUUGAAUGUAACGUAAUCAUAUUUUAAUUAUUAAUUAAUAUUUUUAUAUCUAUAUAUAAUGUGAGACCCAGUUUCUGUCAGUGGGGACUUGUCGACAGCUCUGGAGAGUGUCGAGACAAGCCCGAGUUGCGUUGGCGUCAAAUAGACGCGAAACGGACUCCGUUUGACGCGAGGGCAGCAUUCUGUGUGAAAAUCUGCGAAAUUGCAGGAUUUUUACUCUGUUGNGUGACUGAAACCAUUGCUGGUUGAGGUGCGAUUAGUUCGCCGCCAGAUAGAUAGGUCAUGACUUGAGUCCUCGCUGGGUAAAUGCAACGUGUUCGCCACCAGAAUGACUAUGUCAAGUGACUCGAGCCGAGUUCAGCGUGUGCGACGACUUCGCCGCUAAGAGGCUAAGUUUAGAGGGCGGUAGGCUGAUGAGCAGCCAGUGCGCGGACUAUCCGCGGAUGAUUGACUCAAAGCCGAGUCGGAUGGUUAGCUCGAUAGGGUAGUGGAACCCUGAUGAGCUAGAGUUAGUGGCUUGAGCUAAGGUAAUAGAGACCUUAGAAGCCAGUUGGACUUGAGUUGAGAACCUAAGGUAGUAGAAACCUUAGAGUUGAUGAUAUGAGCUAAGAGUAGCCAAGUAAAGUGUAGAAUCGAUUGAUCUACUAGUUGUUGCAUAGAGUUGUAUGAUUUUCAUAUCGCAUAUUGUGAGGCAUGGCAUGUAUUUCAAUUUAAAUAUAUAUCUGUUGUAUAUUGUUGAACUAACAUGUUGCAGUGCCUCCUCGGACCUAUCGAUCGAGCUUUUUCCUUGGGUGGCCGUACCCACUGGGAACCAUAGAGUUGGUUCUCACCCCACGUUGUUUCGGGGUGUUUCAGGUACAUACGUGAGCGGCGCGACGACGCGAGGUAAGGGCGUAGCUUCGUAGAUAGAGCCCUACCCCAGACACCGAGAUAGCAGUACCCCGAGUCAGCAGGGCUUAGGGGUUAGAAUGGAAUGACAACAACCAACUUAUGCUAAAUGUAAUAAUGUGAUUGUAUUUGGAAAUCAAGCAAAUGUAAAAGAUAAACUGUGAUGUAAAAUGUUGUAUGAAAUGAAUGCUUGUAAUAGCUAGAAGUUUUAUGUAUUUGAUACUUCCUUGUGCAAUUUGGAUUGAUAUCCGUUCCUGGUUGGAACACUUGUUCAUUGUAUUGAUUGCGACGCCUAGGACGUACAGGGGAACUCUGUCCGUAGUACAGGGGAAACCCUGUCCGUUCGGCAGUCUGUUUGCGGCACCGCGACCCGGCCAAAUAGGCGGGAGGUCGCGGGGCGUGACAACAAAUGCUACAGUAUCUGGUGUGACUGUCAACUCUACACCUCGUACUGAAGUAGUAAACAUGUAAGGUCCACCAUCAAAGUCACUCAAAUGACCCGCUCGCAUAUAGAACUCACAAAUGAGCUCUAAACAAUAGCCUGUUUGCUCGGGAAAGUCGCAAAUCUCAUGUAAAUUACCGUUCUCAAAGAGAGCUUGAAAUGCCGGCGCACGUUCAAUCAAAUUUGCAACACCAACUGCACGCUCACCAAUGCACAAUUAUGAGGAGUACAUAGAGCGUCGGCGGGAAUCAAUCAGAGCGUCUUGAGCACUUCGACGUGGAGGAUCAGAAAUGGGAUCUCGAAUCUCAAUUCCACUAGAUUUCUUCCGACUGCGAGUAAAUGUCAUUUGUUCUGUUGCUUUUCCUUUCCCCUUUUCUUUUUCCUUUUCCUUUUCUUUUCCCUUUUCUUUCCUAUUGCCUUUGUCCUUGUCUUUCUCAGGAGCUGCGGGCUCUUUGCCUUUCUUCUUUGAGAGCACCUCAGGAGUAAGUGCGUCCCAAUCAGUCGACUCAGAAUCAGACUCGUCGCCAGGAGCAUUCUCACUCCUUACAUCUUCCGGUUGUUGCUCAACCGGUUGCUUAGCCGAAGAGCGUUGACGUUUGCUUCCCCGACCACCACCGGCCAUGAGAAAAACGAGCACAAGUAGCCACGAAUACAUUUUUAAGAAGCUCCUGUUAAACACAAAUAUUUACACAUAUUGAACAUAAGAGCAUUUUUAUUUUGAUGUCAAAAAUUUGAGCAAGUUGAAAUGUAAAAUACUAAAUGAUCCUAAGGCCACAAAAUCAUGAAAACCAUGGGCAAAUCAUGCAACAAAAUGAAAAAUCAAGCCCUAACAGAUCUAGAGAGUCAAUCAAAGGAGAACACACGAGUUCCACACAAUUUCUAACAUCAAAAUCCAUAAGCUCACAAAAAUAACCAAAAAAUCCGAAAUACUCAUGAAAAAUAUGCAAGAAAUAAAAUUAUUACCAAAACCCCUGUUGUAAUCGAUGAUGAGUAAAAGACGGUGUCUCUAGAACCCUAAGCAGUGAGAGGAGACAAUAUGAAACGAGAAGGUAGAGAGAGAAGCAUCGAACGAAACAGAUCUUCAUAUAGGGGCUCGGGCGGAGGGACCGGUCUCUCAAGUCAGGGAUGGGUCCCCGAGCCUGGAGUUUAAAAAAUUUUAUUUUAAGUUCAAAAUUUUUAAAAAUUUUAUAUGAUAUUUUAAGAUCCCCCAAUACAAAAAUGACCAAUUUUCAUCCCCAAUGACUUCAAAUAAAAUUUCAUAAAUAAAUAAAUUUUGAAAAGUAAAUUUCAAAGAUAUUCAAUUUGUCAAAAAUUGUUGACCCAAAAAUCAAAUAAAUUUAUAUAAGUAUAGAAUAAAAUUCCACACAUCAUGCAAGAUCUAAAAUUAAUUGUAUUGUUUUAUCAUCAUAUUUGUUAAAAAAAUUAAUAAAGGAAUCUCGUAAUCGUGAAAUUAAAAUAAUACCCCCAAAUUGAGUUAUGCACAUUAUUCGAGAUAGGAGUGGCUCUUUGAGCAUGUUUUAACAAACCGCCUUAUAUCGCCUAGGAGAUGUAUUAAACAUAUUAUUAAAAUUUUACCAUCUCCACAACAUCUCAUAUUUAUUUAUUCUUUUUUUUUUAUCUUAUAGAGAUACUUUGACUAUCAUGUGGUAGCUGCACACACUGACCGGACGACCGGGGUGGUAGCUCUUUCCUCCAUGUGGUGGUAGUUUUCACACUCCCAGCAGGGAUGUAACUCUUUCCACAUCUUUUGAAUUUAAGAAAUUUUCAUAACCGGAAAGACUUCCCCUAAAUUAGUGCAACCCUCAAGUCAAAAAUAUUAUCGCAAUUUCAAAAAUAGAGAAAUAGUUAUUCAUCUCAUAGCUAAUAAUCAAACAAAACAAUUGCAACGUUCAAAGUUCGAAGCAUGAGGUGUUGUAUUUAACUCAGUAUACUAAAACAGAAUUUCAAUGAUUUAAUCGUUCAAAAUUAUGACAACAGAGAAUAACAUUGACAGUGAUCAAUCAAAACAUAAUAUGAAACAAUUAAAGCCAUAUUAUAGAGCUCACAAAAACCAAUUUAUCUCCUAAAAACAUAACAUUGACAGUGACACCAUUCAUGAAACUCAAUCAUCUCUCAAAAAUAAUCAAGAAAAAUCGAAAAACAUGCACAGAAACAAAAUGCAAUAUGCAUAUGAUCUAUGGCCCAAUAGAAUGCAUCUAGAUUGAAGGAUUCAUACCAAUAGCCUUUCUUAAAUGUAGAAAACGUUUUUGAUCCAAAGGCUUAGUUAAAAUAUUCGCAAGUUGAUUUUCAGUUGAAAUAUAUUCAAGUUGAAGAACGUUUGAUUCAACCAAUUCUCUUAAAAAGUGAUAUCUUAGUUCAAUAUGCUUUGUUCGUGAAUGUAAAACAGGAUUUUUCGAAAUAUUUAUGGCACUCGUGUUGUCAUAUAAAAUUGUAAAAGUGGUGGAGGAGAUCCGAUAGUCACUCAAUAAGCUUUUCAACCAUAGUAAUUGUGCAGAGCAACUACCGGCCGCAAUAUAUUCCGCCUCGGCAGUGGAGAGUGCAAUACAAUUUUGUCUUUUACUAUGCCACGCAACUAGACAGUGGCCUAUAUAAAAGCAUGCUCCACUUGUACUUUUUCUAUCAUCCACAAAACCGGCCCAAUCUGCAUCCGAAUAUCCAAUUAAAUCCAAAGACGUCCCCAUCGGAUACCAUAGACCAUAAGCGGUUGUACCUUUAACAUAUCGUAUGAUUCUCUUAACCGCUUUCAAAUGAACUUCUUUUGAAUUAGCUUGAUAGCGAGCACAAAUUUCCACACUAAAAGCAAUGUCCAGACUACUCGCGGUCAAAUACAGUAAUCUGCCGAUCAUGCUCCUANCAAAUAAGCCUAAUUUGGCUUCGUUAUGCCGCAGGUAAAGAACGAAAGGUCUAAAAAUCUCAAGAAAAUCAUCGGAGCACCUAAAUAGACCUACAAGGAGGGUGGUGCUUCUCAAACUCUUUGAACUUCUCUCUAUGCCUAAUGUGUCAUUCAUUUGAGCAUGUGUAUAUAUAUAUUAUUGCAUGCAUUUUAGGGUAAAGUAAUGAUGAAAACGUAAUGAUGCAUGAUUGUGAGUACAACUUGCAUAAUAUGAUGAAUGAGAACUAUGUGAUGUCGAAAACCCUAUGUGUAUGCAUGAGAGAAAAGUGAGCACCCAAAGUGAGCAAAAGAACAGAGUGACACAAUGACAUAGAUCGAGUGGUAUUUGAUAAAGUUAAAGUGAAAUGACACUAGAGAUAGUGUGAGGUAAAGAACCGAUGUAUUGUAAAGAAGGAUGAAAAUGACAAUGUUUAAGGUUAAAGUAAUGUGGGGAGUAAAGAACAUGAAAUGCUAGAGGUAGCCAAAAGUAAAGAAUGUAAAGAAUAUAAUUGCUAGAGUUAGCAACAUAAAGUGAUGUAAUGAACACUAGAGCUAGUGUAAAGUCAAGAUUGAACUUAUAAAUCCUUAGAGUUAAGGAUAUGAUCAUACUUGCUAUGAGUUCCGUGCUCGAGGGCGGUCGCUCCCCCUCGGGCGAUGCGCUCCGGAGUUAUGCAUCACGGGUUGGAGUAAACCUGAAGGACGGUCUUAGCGGGUGAGUUCCUGCGAUGAUGGACUUAAUGUGAAGCAAGUUAAUGUGGCGAUACCCCCGGGUUAGCCUUGAGAUUAAAGAACAAAGAGCAAAGAACAAAGUGCAAAGAACAAGAACAAAGAACAAAGAGUAAAGUGAAAAGAACAAGGAAUUUGCAUAAUCUGCAUCUAUUUAAUGUUGAGCAUACUCCUUUGCUUAUUGUUCAGGCAUAUUAGCAUCAUGUUGUAGAUUGGUUACUAUAUCUCAGCUUAUCCUUUCUAUUAUGCCUGAGUUAGUCCUAGUGGGAAAGUCGGUGAUGUUGAGGCCGAACCCACUGGGAACUUUGUUGUAGUUCUCACCCCACUAUUUCCACAGAGCCAGGACCGAGCGAGCCGGCGAGCGACCGAGGUAAAGGUAUCGCGCCUUAGACAGAGGCCACCAGAGUUGUGUUGGGUUUACAUUUUGUAGUAAAGUACCCUAUGAUCAUCUUUUGGUACAUGAUGAUAAAUGAUGUAAAGAAAAGAAUGUAAUGUGUAUUUUGAGGUAAAUGUGAUAUAAGAAAGAAAUGAUGAAAUGAAAUGUAAGGAAUUUGAAGAUGAACAAGGUGAAUGCAAUGUAUAUGAUCAAAAAUGAAUCAUAGUACUUAUAAAUGUUUAGUUUCCCUUUCUUUCACUAAUGGCUAUUGCUUACCCUCGCGUAAGCCGUUUGUGUAUGUUUCCGCUAGUGCAUUUCUUGUUUGAAUUUGUACAUGUGAUUAGCCUUGGGCGGAUAGGGGAAACUCUGUCCGUUCGGCGUCUGUUUGGCGUGCUCGGGUCGGGCCAAAUUGGUACCGGUCCGGGGCGUGACAGUAAGAGUUGUGGAAGGGAUCCGAUAGUCGCUUAGUAAGCUCUUCAUCCACAACAACUGAGUGGAGCAACUACCAGCAGAAAUAUACUCAGCCUUGGCAGUGGAUAGUGCAAUACAGUUCUGUUUCUUACUGUGCCAUGCAACAAGACAAUGUCCAAGGUAAAAACAAGCUCCACUAGUGCUUUUCCGAUCAUCUGCAGAACCAGCCCAGUCUGCAUCUGAGCAUCCAAUCAGAUCAAGAGAUGUUCCCAUAGGAUACAAGAGGCCAUAUGCGGUUAUACCUUUAACGUACCGAAUGAUCAUUUUAACUGCUUUCAGAUGAACUUCCUUAGGAUUAGCUUGAUAGCGAGCACAAAUUCCAACACUAAAAGCAAUAUCUGGUGUACUCACAGUCAAGUACAAUAGGCUCCCAAUCAUGCUUCUGUACUGUUUCUCAUCCAUACUCUGUCCAUCCGAAUUCAAUCCAAGUCCUUUGUUACUUGUACCCAUUGGAGUAUCAAAAUUCUUUGUAUUGUCCAAUUCAAAUUUCUUAACCAAAUCUUUCGCAUAUUUGGAUUGACACAAGUGAAUUCCAUCUUUAGUUUGUUUAAUUUGAAGUCCAAGGAAAUAAUUAAGCUCCCCCAUCAUCGACAUCUCAAACUCGCUUGUCAUUAACUUCGCAAAUUCCGUGACAUCUUUAUCCUUAGUUGAGCCAAAAACAAUGUCAUUAACAUAAAUUUGUGCCACAAUAAAAUUAUUUUUCGAGUGUUUUACAAAAAGAGUUAUAUCCACUCCCCCUCGGUUGUAGUCUUUUUCGAUAAGAUAUUUUGUCAAACACUCGUACCAUGCCCGCGGAGCCUAUUUAAGUCCAUAAAGUGCCUUUUUUAGUCGAAAAACAUGAUUUGAAAAUUUGGAGUCUAUGAAACCUUUCGGUUGUUCAACAUAAACUUUCUCUUUUAAAAAUCCGUUUAAAAAUGCACUUUUAACAUCUAUUUGAAAAAGAGUAAUUUUAAAAUGACAGGCAAUCGCGAACAAAAUACGAAUUGAUUCAAGACGAGCAACCGAGGCGAAGGUUUCAUCAAAAUCUAUUCCCUCAAUUUGUGAAUAGCCCCGAGCAACAAGUCUCGCUUUGUUUCGAACAAUAGUACUUCCUCAUUUUUCUUAUUCUUAAAAAUCCAUUUGGUACCAAUUAUGUGUUGUUGCUCAGGCCGUGGCACUAAUUCCCAGACAUCAUUACGCGUGAAUUGACCAAGUUCUUCUUGCAUAGCAUUAAUCCAAUAUUCAUCGAGAAGAGUUUCGUCAAUAUUCUUUGGCUUAACUAAAGAAACAUAACAUGCAAAUUCACACUGAAGUUGUCUCCUAGUUUUCACACCAGUAAGAGGGUCUCCAAUAAUAUUUGACAAAGGGUGAUCUCUUGACUCUCUCAGGGGUGUAGUCUCAUAUGAUAUACUAGGUGUUUCAGAUGAGAUGCUUUGAGGCUCAGAUGAAUCAUUUGAUGCAACAAUUUCAGGAGAUGCAAUGGGAUUAUCAAAUGCAGAAACAUUAUCAUUCACAGGCAGUACAAAUGGAGAAUCAUUAUCAUCAUCAUUCAUCAAAGAGUUAGAAGUACCAUUCACAGAAGAACUUACAGAAGAAGCUUCAUCUACUUUUAUAUUUAUAGAUUCUAUCACCGUCUUAGUUCGUAAAUUGUACGCACGAUAAGCACGACUUAUAGUAGAAUAACCAAGAAAUAUCCCCUCGUCACUUCGGGAGUCAAAUUUUCUAAGAUUUUCAUGAUCCCGAAGGAUAAAACGCUUACUCCCGAAGAUACGAAAGUAUUUAAUAUUAGGUUUUCUACCAAGCCAAAGUUCAUACGGAGUAUUCAAAGUACCCAGAUGCACAUAAAUCCGAUUGAUAACAUAGACGGCCGUGUUAACCGCUUUGGCCCAAAAAUGUAAAGCAACUUUCUUACUAUGAAGCAUAACACGUGACAUCUCUUGUACAACCCGAUUUUUGCGUUCAACCACUCCGUUUUGUUGCGGUGUAUAAGGAGCCGAGAAUUCAUGUUUAAUCCCAUUAGAAACACAAAAAUCAACAAUUUUUGAAUUUAUGAAUUCUCCCACUUGAUCACUUCGAAUACAUAUAAUUUUAUCAUUACACUCAUUCAUAAGACGAAGACAAAUCUCAGAAAAAGAGUCAAAAGUAUUGGCUUUUUCACGUAAGAAAGCACUCCACGAAAAACGAGUAAAGUCAUCAACAAUAAGGAAUAUAUAACGUUUGCCACCCAAACUUUGAAUCCUAGAUGGUCCCAUCAAGUCUAUGUGUAACAACUCUAAAGGUUUAGAUGUCCCUAAGUUGUUCAAAUUCUUAUGUGCGGAUCUAGUUUGCUUUCCUAGUUGACAACCCCCACACAUAAUGUUCUCUUUGGAAUCUAUCUUAGGUACACCUCUAACAAUCUCUUUCUUCGAUAUCUUAGAUAGUUCCUUAAAAUUUAUGUGACCUAGAUGUUCAUGCCAUAAAGUUUCAGUCUCUAAUAUUGCUAGGUUACACUUUUCAGAUGAAGCACUAGAAACUAUAUAACAGUUAUUCUGAGAUCUUACACCUUUUAAAAAUAUAUCAUCAUCACGAGUCACAUUGCAUUCUUUAUCAGAAAAUUUCACAGAAUACCCAUCAUCACACAAUUGGCUUAUGCUUACGAGAUUUGAUUUAAUCCCCUCAACAUAAAAAACAUUAUUCAAAGUAGGGCCAUCUAAGAUAGUAACUGUUCCUUUUCCAAUGAUUUUUGAUGACCGACCGUCUCCAAAAACAACAAGUCCUCCGGAGAUUUUAUUUAAAGAAGUAAACCAAUUUUUGUCACCCGUCAUGUGACGGGAACAACCACUAUCCAGAUACCAAGAAGUAUUAUCGUAAGCAUGAAGCAAAGUGUGAAUGACAAGGCAUGGGAAGACUUCACCUUUGCGUACCCAGACCUUACGUGUUUUGGGUUGCGACGAUUGACUUGCUUUUGGUGAUCGUGGCUUGUCGACGAUUUGAGUUAACUUCUUCUUCAGAUCCUCCUUCUUUGGCUUCCAUGCUUGUUUUGCCUUUGAUUUCGGAGCAUUCUUCUUUGGUGUCCACGUUUGCUUCACUUUUGGUUUAGGAUCAUUCUUCGUUUGCAUCCAUGAUCGUUUCUUCUCAACUUUUGAAUCUUCUUUUGUUGGCUUCCAAGAUGUCCUCCGAUCCAAGAGUGUAGUGGAGCUUUUAGCCCUUUGUUCGCAAAACCUUUUCACAUGUCCUAAAACACGACAAAGAUGACAAGUUUUGUUAGCAAAUGUGUUUUUAGGAGGGAUAAACUUACCAUAAAGCUUAGGAAACGCUUUUGUCGAAUGUUCGUCAUCUUUUUUGAUUGCUUGAUCAACAUACGUCCGUUCGUAUCCAAGUCCAAAUUUAUUUGUUUGAUCAAGUCCAAGCAUUUUGUCAAGUUUGCUAGAGCUAGACGAAAAUUGAUUUAAAUCCGAUUUGAGUUGGAUAAUAGUCUUGGUGAAUUCCAUAUUUGAUUCUCUAGCUUCCGUGUAUUGCUUGGUAAGGAAAUUGACAUUUUCAACAUGAGACUCCUUUUCCUUUUCAAGCAAUAUACACUUCUCAAAUAAAGAAUCGUAAGCCUUAGUCAAACCAUCUCUUUCUUGUUCUAGAUCCUUUGUCAAUGAGUCCAAUCUUGAAUUCUCUUGUUCCAAGUCAUGUAGCCUCCGCCGCAGCUUCUUGUUAUGUUUUGCCAUCUUCUUUGAUUCGACAACCAAUUGUUGAUAUGCGGCGACCAUGUCAUCUUCAUCCGAUUCUUCAUCCGAUGAAUUUUUCGAAGUCAAUUUUUCAUGCAUAGAAGACAUGGAGAUAGAGUCAAUAGAUGUCAGACACAUAUAAUUAGAAUCAUGUGCAAUAAGUGCCGUUGCGUUUACAUCCUCAUCGCUUGAAGAUGACUCAUUCGAGGAUGAAUCAUCCCAAGUGAUGGCUUAUAUCGCUUUCUUUUUCAAAGAUUUUUUAUUAGGACAAUCCGAUGCAAUAUAACCAAAUCCUCUACACUUAUAGCAUUGGAUUUGACCUUCAUUACUUUUCUUCUCUUUAGAAAAAUCUUUUGAAGAGCUUUCAGAUUUUUUUAUUCUUAGAAAAGGAAGAUGAAGAAGAACUCCCUUUAGAUUUGCUUGACUUUGAGGAGGUAGACUUUGGAGGAAACUUCUUUCUAAAGUUCCGACGGAACUUCUUCGUUAGAAGAGCCAAUUGUUUUUCAAACUCCUCCAAUGUUUGAUCCGAUUCUGAGUCCGAUGAAGUAGUCAUGUCAUCUCCUUUUGUUGAUUUUAAGGCCAUACCUAAAGCUUUAGAAGAAGACUUGGAAGAAGACGAAUUAGAAGGUGUACCCUCGUGUGUAACUUGUAAAGUAUCCCAAAUUUCUUUGGCGGUUUCACACGCCAAGACACGAGAAAACUCGGUUUGAUUUAAAGCAUUAAAUAAAGCAUUGAUACCCUUUCCGUUGAAUGAAGAUAGUUCGUUUUCCUCUUUCGUCCACUUAUUUCUAGGUUUCGGACCGGUAACAUUCUCAACAACUUCGGUGGGAUGUUUCCGCCCGAAUUCAAUGGCUUGCCAUACCCGCUCGUCGAUGGCAAUAAGAAAUGCCCUCAUACGGACUUUCCAAUAAGCGUAAUUAGUGCCAUCGAAGAGAGGGGGUCGAUUGAUGUUACCGCCCUCGGCCAUGAUUUACAACCUAUACCCUCUCUGAAACCACUUGAAAGAUAUGGAUCCUAAGGAUCUAAAAGAUAAAUAACACCUAGAGGGGGGGUGAAUAGGUGUAAACGGUAAAAACAAAUAAACUCGAUGCGAAUUAAAAAAGAAUGCGAAAAAAAUAAAAUCAACACACCGAGAAUUAACGUGGGAAAACUCCAAAUCGGUGAGAAAAACCCACGGGACCGACCACACAAAGAAAUCCACUAAGAAAACUUGAGUACAAGUGAUUUAACAAAAAUACAUGACUCAAUUUACCGAAUCCUCGUUGUAGAUUGUCUUCGCCGAUCCUCGAUCGCUUGGAAUCCUCCAACCGACCACACCGGAAGUCCUUGCAGCAAACAUGCCUCGAUUCCACGAAACGCCCACCGAAUCCACGGCCUCCAUGCGAAAUCCAUGCGCUAACGCUCCAUCCGAAGCUCAUAGGGAUUUAACAAUUUGUGGUGAUUUAAGAUCUUAGAAAGCACAUAUAAUAUGAGGAGAAACCCUGAUUAUAACAUCACCAAUUUGAUCCUUAAAGAUGUUUUGAAUCAAAAUCAAAGAAUCUAACCGGUGAUCUAAGAACUCGAUGUUUAAAACAUAGAUCAAAAACUCCGAAUCAAGCCGUUAGGAUUUCUAAAAGGUUAUAUCUCUAAGCUCACGUCAUAUAGGGAUCCUCAUAUCACAUUUAUAGGUUUAGAUGGCUUCUAAAUGGACUAGGAUUUCAAAAACUCAAUUUUAAAAACUGACGACGGUCUCAGGGUCCGGUCCUCCCGAGGAGACCAGUCUUUGGGGGACCGGUCCUUUGCUGCGUAGCUGAGAAACAUGCGUACGGGGACCGGUCCUCAAUUCAGAGACCGGUCCCUCCCUGCACAACAAGAUAAACCACUUACGGGAACCGGCCCUCAAGACCAGAGACCGGUCUCCCAAAACUUCUACGCAGAGAAGACUUGAUGGGUCCGGUCCCUCUGAUCAAGGACCAGUCCCUGAGCCCUGAGAUUUAUAGAAAAGUCCAGUUUGAUCAACAAAAACACAAUCUAAGUCUUCUAAACAUAUUUUAACAAUAAAAUCUCACCACAAACUAUUUAUAAUCAUACCUAAGAUCCCAAAAGUGUGACCGAAGUUUUUGACCUCCAAAUUCCAAUUCUUUCUUCAAACUUUGUCUUCUAACUCUUCGAGACUCCAUCAAACUUCACGAAAGUCGCCAACCUAGAAAAAAUCCUUAACAUCGAAAAAUUAUGAAAUUUGAUUUCUAGAUGUUUCAAAUGCUCUAGAUAACGUUUAACGGUGUGGAUCGUCGAUUCGGAAGCUCUAUCAUCGAAAACAACUUAUGAGUACGAGGGCGAUCGUACUCAUAAUAGUAUUGUUGGAGCCGAAAUUCCCCGACCUUUGAACCGGUCAAAGUUGUUUCUCGGGAAGCGCGUCGGGAUGGAAAUGGCUGCGAAGGAUGACCCUCGAAGUAUGCGCCCUUCGAUAGAUCAAGCGAUUAGGCUGACGAGGGAUCAGGUUAGCCGGGUUCAAAACCUUUAUAAGAGAAUCGGUUUGGCUGGGAUGAGCCGAAUACUUGAAACAAGCCAGAAAGUGGGCAGACAAAAGAGCCGAAUGGCUAGGACAACUUGAGAUCUGGUCGGCCUGAAGAGCCGAAAAUGACUUUCUAUUAAAUGGAACCGGGGAAAGUACAGAGAGAUGGGUUUUUAGUCUACAACGGAGUGAUGCCCGAGGGGCAGACAGACUCCAGGAUGCUAAGUUACAGGAACUACUCCUAGGAAAAAUAAAUAAAUGCGAGAAAGAAAGAUGCAAGAAAAUAAAGGUGGUCUUUUGUGCGCAGGGGCUAAGACCCCUUUUUGGGGUAUUAUUACCCUAUUUAUAGAUAGCCCCCUUUGAUCAGUUAUUUCAUAAUCGGCCAUUAUCUCCUCAUAUUCCGGACCACUUCUAGCCGAUUGGAACCGCAUGUAACUGCUUGCGGUUGCCAUAACUUCCUUCAAUUCGCGUGAUACCUUCUUCCGGCACUUCCGAUGCACGACCCAAAAGACGCUUUUGAAGGGAAUAUUCGCACCUAAAUCCGAUUCUCGCUUAAUCGGCUCAACAAUUGCCUCCUCGGCAGCUUUCGAAGUAACACUUCGGUAGCUGGCGUGAUCUGAGACACGAUCACUUUUUAACUUCCUGACAUGGUUGCAUCUCGGCCGUUCCUUUUUCGCUGCCGAAAUUUUGUAAUUGAUUUGAUAACAAGCGCGAUCCGAGGCGUCAUUCUCGGUCCAAUCACAUUCAAAAUCUCUGCACCAGUACUAGAUAUGAUUCGAGGCGUGACCCUCUGUAUGGUUCAAUCUUAGCCGUUUAUUUCCUUUUCUUUACGGCCCGAUCUCAACUUUCGUUUUGUCUUACUUGCGGCAUUAACUAGGUUAUCUUAAUUACCGCCGUCUAUUCAUCAUUAAAACUGACCUCGAAACUCGCUUCGACGCGACGGUUCAAUACGACGACCUUUCUUCUUCUCCAAGCUUUUUAUUCUUUUUGUCUCUUCUAUUUCUUCUUCGUCUUCCAGGAAACCUUUCUUUUGCUUCCCUUUCCUUCAUCUUUUCCGAUUUUAUUUUCCACUUGACUUUUCCUCUUUCCUUUUUCGACUAAUGGCGUUGGUUCUGCCUCUUCCUUCUCAUCCAUCCCUGGAUUAUACUAUACUUAAACCCUUUGUCGAUUCGGACCCCUCUAGAUUUAUUUUGGGUCCUUCACUUACAAAAGUGCCAGCCCCUAUUGACUCGCCCUUUUCUAGCGAUGGUCUCCCCUUGAGAAAAGCUAUUCAUCUUCAGUCUUGGUACUCUUCUGCUUCAACAGGGAAGAGUCUUCGAACUUGGCCAAGUACUUCAGAGGCAUAUUUAACCUGGUUAGAUCGAGUAGAAGCCGUCUUUGGUGACUUUUGGCGAGAGGUUGGGAUAUAUGAAGCUAUUCAAUUGUCUCGGCAUCCUCCUAUUGCCGACAAUCUUCUUCUAGCCGCCACUCUGUGUUUUUGGUCCCCCACUUCUAAUGUUUUUCUUUUUAAAAGAGGGCCUCUCACCCCCACUCUUCUUGACGUGGCCACCAUUACUGGCUUGUGCCCUCAUGGCGUUUCUAUUUCUAUGUCUUAUAAUCCUGACGGCGUAUCUAAUUUUGAGGACCGUCUAGACCUCAAUGACUUGGCUUACUCCAAGUUCAUCCGCAAAUUCGCANGCCGCGUCAACGCCUCAACUCCUCGAAGCGUCCACCGAAUCCUCGGCUUCACGCGAGAUCCACCCGCCGAACCUCCUUCCGGAGCUUGUAGAAUUGAUGAUUUGUGGAGAUUAAGACUUAAAAUACCAUAAGCAAUGAGCGUUCACCUUCUAAUCAAUCAUCAACUUAAUUCUCGAUGAAAUUCUUGAGUUAAAACUUAAGAAUCAAGUCUAUGGUUGAUUAUACGAAACUCGUUAUAUGAAUAAAUCAUAAGAACAUGAAAACAAAUUUCUAGGGUUUUAGAAAGGUAGAAAUUCUGAGCCUCAACUCAUAUGAUGACCCCCAUAGCUUAUUUAUAGGUUUAGAAGACUUAGAAGUGGACUAGGAUUGCAAAAUAUCUAUUUUAAAAACUGACGUCGUCCUCAGGAACAGGUCCUCUCGAGAAAACCGGUCUUUGAGAGAUCGGUCCCUCGAGUGGGAGACCGGUCCCUCGCUGCGUGACAGAAAACACAACGUUCGGGAAUCGGUCUCUCAUGCCAGAGACCGAUCCCUCGCUGCGUGACAGAGAAACCCAUGUUCGGGAACCGGUCUCACUUUCCAGAGACCGGUUGCCUUAAUAUUCUAUGCAGUGAGGACCCUCGGGGACUGGUCUCUCAACCCUGGAACCGGUCCCAGAACACUGAGAAGUUCAGAUUCAGCUUCUUAAUGCAAUCCAAGUCUUCUAAACUUAUUUUUUGAUUAAAAUCACCAUAAAUGAUCUAUUUUUCAUACCUGAGGUGCCGAGCUUUCCGAAUGAAUCUUUGAUCUUCAACUUGCAUCUUAGUUUCAAAACUCCGUGCUUGAUUUUUCAAGACUCCAUUUGACUUUACGAAAUCCGCCAACCUAAAAAAUCCAUAACAAAUCCGGGGGUAUCGCCUCAUUAACUCACCAACUCAAAGUCCAUAAUCGCGGGCCCUCAGCUUCCUCCCGCUAGGACUAUCCUCUGGGGAACAGAACCACCCAGUGAUGACAAACUCCGGAGCGCAUCGCCCGAGGGGGAGCUACCGCCCUCGAGCAAGGACUUAUAGCGAGUAUGAUCAAUCCUUAACUCUAAGGAUAUUCAGUUCAAUCUGUUCCUUAACUCUAAGAAAUUUAUGCACAAAUGACCCUUAGCUCUAAGGUUGAAUGUCAUUGUGUCAAUCUCAUGUUCUUUGCAUUCUUUAUCUUCGACCAUGUCAAUACACUAACUCUAGUGUUCUUUACAUUCUUUACUAUCAUUCAUAUUAUACAUUAACUCUAGUAUUCUUGGAUGCCCCACAUUUAAUGCUAUCUUUAGCCAUUGUUCUUUAUGCCACAUUUUGUUGCUAACUCUAGCAAUUGUCAUUCUUUGAUGCCACACAUUUGCUAACUCUAGCUUUUAUCAUUCUUUAUACCACAUUUGUUCUCUUUGAUGCCACACACAUUAGCUCUAGUGUUCUUUACGUCAUACGUCAUGCUAACUUUAGCUUUCAUUCUCAACAUUACAUUGUCCUCAUGUCAUAUGUCACUUGUUCUUUAACUUCAUUAAGCUCUUAUCUCUUUUUACAUGCACAUAUAGGGUUAUUACAUUCUCAUCGGUUUUCAACCAUUUCAUGAUGCACUUGAACUCACAAAAUGCAAGCAUUCACAUAUUUAUAAUCUCAUUACCCUACUAUGCAUGCAACAAUUAUAUAUGUAUGCUCAAGAAGUGACACAUUAGACAUAAAGGGAAUUCCAACAAGUUUGGAAGGCACCACCCACCUCGUAGGCUUUCUUAGGUGCUACGGUAAUUUUCUUGGAAUUUUUAGACUCCUAAUUCGUCACCUGCGGCAAAACGAAGCCAUAUUAGGCCUUUUUGCUCAUAACUUUACAUAGGCUUUUUGUAAUGUCAAUCCGAGCUCACCAACGCGUUCGUUUGGUCCCCAAUUAGGUUUCUAGAUGGUCAAUUUCACUUUGAAUCCCUCACAAGCAAAAGUUCCAAAUUUUAGGUGCCCUAGCUUCACAUACACCAAAUCUAGGAUUUUGAUCUCUUAGAGAAGCAAAAGAAAGCUUCAAAACUCUUUAAUCAUUCCAUUAAAACCAUUUUUAGGUCAAUCAAAACCCAUUCUAGGGUUUCACCAUGAGAGGGGUUGAAGCUUACCUCUAAGCUUCACCACCUACACCCAAUCCAUGGUUUUGAUCUCAUCCACAAGCAAAAGAAAGCUUGAAAUACCCCAAAAGGCUCUACUAAAACUAUUCAUAGGUCCUUUGGUUCUCAUCUUAGGGUUUUACUAUGAAAGGGAUCAAAGCUUACCUCAAAGCUUUCCCUUCUUUGCUCCAAAGAGGAAGAAGAAGGAGUUGCUCCACUCCUUGGUCUUCUUCUCCACCUUUGUCUUCUUCUACUUCUCCCUCUUUUCUUUUCUUUCUCUUUCUUUCUUCUUCUCCUUCUUGUCUUCUAGAGAGAGAAAGAGGGGAGAGAGUGUGUGAGAGGGAGAGAAUGAGAGAAAUAUCCCAUAACCCCUCAUAACAUAACCCAUGGGUUUAAUUGCAAAUAAACCCCUCAACUUUCACUUUAUUAAACUGCCCAAACUGGGCCAUUUUCGAGCUCGGGGACCGGUCUCCCUGACAAGGGACCGGUCCCAGAGAGCUUUCCCCAUGGGCAGCCAAGGCCCCCGCGCAAUGCAACCAGUCUCUCCCAGAGGGACCGGUCUCUCGGGGACCGGUCUCUCCCCGCAGGGACUGGUUUCCGAGAGCUGGUUUUCUGGGACUUAGCCGAUUUUUCAGCUUUCUCAUUUCUCACGCGUUCGGGGACCGAUCUCUCCCACCAGGGACCGGUCCCCGAGAGCACAAAAGCUGCAGUUUGCAAAUUUUUAUUUCUUUAGCUCUCGAAGAUCUCUUUAAACGCACUUUUACUUAUUUUAACACCUUCGGACUUUCCGAAGUGUACCAUCCUCACACUUUGGUCAAUCUGACUAAAGUUCGAUAUUUAUUUUUCGAAUUUUCGGUAUAUUAAAGACGGAAUUGGAUGUUAUUUUUACUCGCUAUGUGAGCUUAGCGAUACCCUUUAGGACUUAGAACCAUGUCAUGAAAUGGAUAUUUGGUGAUGCCACUUUAGCAUAAUAUCUAAGGGCCAUAAUUGAUUCAGUUCAGCGGAACAUGUCUAGGAAAGCAGUCAAGUUGAAAUGGAUUGGCAUGAGACAUAUGAGGAAAAAUCAUUUGACAAUACACCUAUAAUUCUUGACUCAUAGCCCAGGUGAUUAUGUUGAUAUUUGUUAUUAAUAUAAUCAUGAGUGCAGAUGCACUGAUAAGAGAGAUCUAACUUGCUCUAUAGGGAUUAGAGAUGCUAAAAUCUGGUAUUGUUCAAUGAUUUGUGGUAUAGAAGAGAUUUGGAGUUGUAGUGUUAUAUUAGUUGGAUAGUGGCUUAAUAUAAUACUCCUCACUUGAUUCCUCUUGUUAUUGAUUGCACCAAUUAUUUCUCGUAUGAAGAGUAGAACGAGAUAAGAAUAUAUUUGUGAUGAGACAAUAUGAAUAAGUACCAAGUGUACGAGUGGGAGAGUUAGGAUUCGUCCACAUUGGAACAUAUCUAAAAUAUUUCUAAUCCACAUCGGAUAAGGAAUAAAAUUAAGAGAUAGAUCCUAAUAUAUUUAAAUCUCUAUCUAUGUGAGAUUCCGUUAGAAUAGGAUUGGAACUAACAUCUUUUCUAUGGCCUAUAAAUACAUGAGAUAUUGGCUGCAUACAAUACAAAAAAAAAAAAAAAAAAAAGAAUAAUCUCUCCACAAAAUUCUUUUUCUUGGGUUCACUCUAGGGCAUCAUCAGAAACCUUAGGGAUUUGGGCGGUGUGCUGCAAUCCACUCUGAUAGCCUAUUAGCAACGAGAAAGAACAACAUGUAAGAAAUUGAGACAGAUUGCUGGCGGAUUAAGGAGUUCGUAAAACAAGAUGAGAUCAAAUCCUAAUAAUUGCAACAUUAAUUCCGCAUCAAAGAGGUAUGUAAAAAUCUAUAUCAUUUUUGUACUUUGAUUUGGUUAUUUAUUUUUCCUACAAUUCUAUUAGGCCUAGUUUUGGAUUUAUCUUGCAAAAUCAUCUCUGUUUUUAUACUUUGGAAGGUUUCAAUCUUCUCUGUUUUAGUAUUACCAAAUUGUAAUGAAAAUUGAAAGUGGAGAAGCAUGUAGUUGCAUGCUUCUUAGAAAGAAUAAUUAGAAUUCCAAGAAGCUUUUCAGUGACAACACCUACAAUCUAUAUUUAUUUAUUUCAUUGAUUAUUUAAUUCUUUUUCAAAACCAUAUAUCCUAUUUUCACAGUUAUUUACCUAAAGAAAUAAGGAACAUACUAUUAGAAUUUUAGUUAGAUUUGUAGUUAAAUUCUAGUUAAAUUAAAAUAAAUAUUUAAAUCUAUCAAAAAUAAAUUAAUUUAAAUUUAAAUAUUAAUUAGAAUCGAAUUUUUAAUUAUACUAGAAUUGGAGUAAGUUUUUCUUGAGCUUAAUAUAUAAUUCCAUGGUAUACGGGUUUGUAUGGCUUAGCCUUGUAGUACGGCCAAUUAAUUAGUUGCUUUAUAGUUAGCAGAGCAGAGAAGGUGAGGCCCUAUCAGAGAGAGAGCAGCAAUAUGCUUAGUGCACCUGGUGUCUAGGUGCAUAAGAAUUGUUGAAGUUAGAUGAUUUGAGCAUAGGUUUGAUUUCAAUGAGAGAAGUCUUCUAAACUUAUAGAAGACAAGAGAAGGGUGAGAGGGAUUCAGAAAUAGGGCUUAGGUUGAAGCUACUCUAUACAGAAGAGAAAUCACAUAUAAUUCUUCUCUUAUUUAGUAAAUUUUGUUUUAUCUGUAUUUUCUAUUUGAUUUUUUUCCUUUUUGUAGCUAUGCCAGCUGUUUGCUGAGGAAACGGGUUUCUGGUAAAAAUUUGAUUUGAGCUUUUGUUACGCAAUACCAACUACUGGUACCAAAUCAACAGCGGUCGAUAUCAAGGCGGAUUGCGAAUUUUUCAAAAUAUGAUAUUAGAGUGAGUACCAAAUUCUCAAUAAUUGGUAUUAGAGCUUAAGGUUACUGAUCUUCCGGAGAGAUCGACGAAGAUCGCUACAAAAUUGGAAAUUGAGAAGUUCGACGAUAAAUAAUUUCGGAUUGUGAUAGAUUAAAGUACGGAAAGUCCUCAUACAACAAGAGUUAGAUGAGAUGUUGAACAGGAAGGAAGCGAAGCCGGCAAAGGUCACGGAUUCGAGUUGGGAGAAGAUAGAGUGGAAGGCACCGAGUACGCUUCAUUUAUUAUUAGCAGAUAAGGUUCUUUGCAACAUAGCCAGCAAGUCAACACUGGCGAAGUUGUGGAAGAAAUUGGAAGAGAUCUAUACAUGACUAAAUUCCUGACAAAUUGUAUAUGAAGUAACGACUAUUCAUGCUGCGGAUGCACGAAAUGACGAGCCUAUAUGAGCAUCUGAAUGAGUUCAAUAAGGUGGUAAAUAAGCAGCCUGGUAAAUAAGGUUCGAAAGUGAGAUCGGAUCGUGUGCGAGGUAAAUAAGCAGAGAAAUUUAUACGUUCUGAAUGGGAGCACAGCCUGAACAGGAGAAAAGACGGUUUGGGCUCUAAAAGUUUAUGAAGGUGCAGCCGCUCGAGGUGGAGUAGCGAAUGUGGCGACAUCGAGCGAAGGAGAUACACUCAAAGUGAAGCUCGUAUAGUGAGCUCGACACAAAAGUUGAAGACAACAAAUCAAAUCACGGUGAAGAUUGUUAGAAUUUUGGUUGGAUUUGUAGUUAAAUUUUAGUUAAAUUAGAAUAAAUAUUUAAAUUCAUUAGAGAUAAAUUAAUUUGAAUUUAGAUAUUACUUAUAGUUGAAUUUCUAAUUAUAUUACAAUUGGGUACGUUUUUGUGAAGUUUAAUAUAUCCACGCAAGCCAGUUCGUGUUCGGCUCGAAAUGAGCUCGAGAUCGAAUCGCUCGUUUAUUAAACGAGCCGAACAUGAGCUGGGGUCAGCUCGCUCGUGUUCGGCUCGAUAACAGCUCGAAUACAUAUAUUUAUAUUUAUAUAAUUUGUUUAAUUUAUAUUUAUAUAUAUAAAUAAAUAAUUAUAUAUAUAAUAUAUAUUUUUAUUAUUUAAUUUUUAGCAAAAUAAAAAUAUAAAGGCGAGCUCAAUUAUAAAAAAAUCCAUUUAUAUGUAAAGUUUUAACUAUUAGAUCAAAGUCUAAUGGAUAAGAUUUUAUAAAUUUAUUUUUUAUAUAUAUGUCAAUCCUAUUUUCCUUUUAACUAUUGUCGUGGCACUCGUGUUCAGGCUCGUUCAAUUAAGAGGCAGAACACGAGCUGAAUUUUUUGACUCGAUACCUUAACGAGUCAGCUCGUGUUCAACUUGUUUAAUAAACAAGCCGAACACGAGCCAACCGAGCUCGGUCGUGUUCGGCUCGUUUACACCCCUGCUCCAUGGUAUGCCGUAGAGGUGUUGCUCUCUAAUUAGUAGAGCAGACAGGUGAGACUGUACGGGAGAGUGAGCCAAUAUGCUUAGUGCACCUGGUGUAUAGGUGCAUAAGAAUGGUUAAAGUUAGAUGUUUUGAGCGUAGGUUCGAUUUCAACGGGAGAAAUCUUCUUGAAAAGGGUGAGAGGAAUUGGCAAAGAGGGUGACGGCCGAAACUAUUUUAUGGAGAAGUGUAAUUUAUUUUUAUUUACUGAAUCUUAUUAUACCUGUAUUUUCAGUUUGGUUUUUUUUUUUUGGUUGUGUAAAUUGUUUGCUAAGAAGACGAAUUUAUAAUAAAAAUUCAAUUUGACACUUUUAUUGCGGAAUACCAAUAAUCAAUACCAAAUCAACAACAGUCGAUAUCAAAGCGCAUUGUAAAUUUUCAAAAUCUGAUAUCAGAACGAAUAUUACAUUCCCAACACAUAUUUCGAAAACAAGUACUUUCGGAUUGUGAAGAAAUUAAUAGCAAAGAAGUAAAAGAUUUUAAGUAGCUAAAAAUUUUGAAAUAUGGUUAGUAAUUGACAGUUUUCUAUGAAUGGAGUUUGAACAAAUUAUUUACAUAUUUACCAGAGAAGCUUGUCGUGUUUUGUGUCUGGAUGAGUUUUAACAAAUGAUCGACUCUGCCUUAUAUUAUAUUAUAGGACAAAAAUUUGCUCGGCAUCCGUGCCUAAACAAAUCCGUGCCCAAACAAAUUGUUUGGGCACGGAGCCGGAUGGGCGCCCCAUCACCACCGCCCCUUUCCCCUUUCUCUCUCUCUUUCUAAAAAACAGAGCCCACCAAUUUUUUUUUCUUUUUUCCGAGGGUCGCGAUGGGCGCCGCACGCCGCACACCACGCGGCGCCCAUCGGCAUCGUCCCCGAACAAAAUUGUUUGGGGACGAUGCCCAGCAAAUUUUUGUCCUACUAGUUAAGGGACCCCGCGCUUCGCGGCUGGAAGCCAAUACAAUAAUAAAUUAUUAGAAAUAUUAAAAUCAUUUUUUUUUUCAUAUUAUGUAUUAAUAUUUUUAAAUAUUAUUUAUUUCCGUAUUGAAUAAUUAAAAAUGAAAGAAUGAACUAAAUAAUCCAAAAAAAUAAGGUUAACAUAAUGAGUUGCCGUGUAGAACUUAGACAUUUAUCAGGCAAAUGCAAAUCUGUUGACCAUCAAUUAAUGUAAAUUUCAUGCGAGCCAAUAAACACAGCUUGAAGAGCAUAAUCCAAAAAAUAAGGUAGAAGUAAUAAGUAAACACAGCUUGAAGAGCAUAAUCCAAAACAUAACAGUAAUGCAAACCGGAAUGUAAAGACAGAUAAAUCUGUUGACCAUCAAUUAAUGUAAAUUUCAUGUGAGCCAAUAAACACAGCUUGAAGAGCAUAAUCCAUAAAAUAAGGUAGAAGUAAUAAAUAAACACAGCUUGAAUAGCAUAAUCCAAAAAAUAAGGUAGAAGUAAUAAGCUGCCUUCCUUUCAUACCGAAAACCGGACAAAAGGUGUGAAAAUAAAUAGUAGAUAACAACUGAAGUACGGAAUUAAAGGUAAGUACAUAGUCUGAUAAGCCACACUUAAAAGCUGUGUGCAAUAGCUUUGGCCAAAACAAAAGGAUGGCAACAAAAUGAUAAGUGAGGUAGUAACUAACUACAUAUUCUUACAUGCCAAGCUUAUAAAGCCAACAGUAUCCAAAAUCAAAGUAUGGCAUCAAAAUAGAAUAUGAGUAUACAAAAGAGCCAUUAGUUAAGGCAAUUGAUUAGACAUGGCUUUAGAGGGAUUGGUCUCAGGAACAGGAGGAGGUGUAAGAGCAGUAAUGCGGUUUACUAUGUCAUAGCAUUCUCCAACGGCACGCCGAAGCUGGAUUUGGUCAUUGACAUAUACAUUUUUUUGCUCAACUGUACUCACGAAGCAUUCCUUCAAAAAGUCGUAUUCACGAGAAAGGUUGCUAAGCUGCGUACUUAAUUGUGUAGUUACCACUGUAUAAUCAGUACAUUUGUGGUCAUAUAAAGUCUUAUAGAGCACAGAGUCGUCAUAAUUAACAUCUUUAAUUUGUAAGUCGCAUUCAUCCUUAAUUCUCUUAAGAGCGAGGCGCGCAACAUCUUGUUGAGCACCAAUGGAAGUAGGGAACUGAGAGCUUGAACAACAAACAGUUUGGAUGAUGGUUUUGCUUCGCGGAAUUGCAAAUCCACAUGACCUACAAAUUUUCCUUCAUCAUCCACAUCUACUACAAUCUGUGGCACAUCCAGGUGUAGCUGUUCAUAAACCUCACUGAGCAGUCUAAUGUAAGAAACGUUAAUAGUCGUCAUUUCUCGAGCUGCGGAGAAAAAGGGAAGAAAACAGUUUUUUUUUUUUUCAAAUAUUGGGAGAGGGUUAUAGUGAAAUAAGUUAGAAUGGUGAAAAAAAAAGAAAGAAAAGGAAACGAAAGAUAUCAUGACCAGCUAAUAAAAGCAGAAAAGAAAGGCAUGAAAAAAAGAGGAAAAAAUGCUUAUGUAAAGAAUAACCAAAGCUGCAGGCACACACACACGUUUAUAGUGAGGGAAGAAGAAUCAGAUGGCAUUUAUAGUGAGGGAAGAAGAAGCAGAUGGUUCUUUAAUGCCAUUCAAAGUGUUUUACCUGCACGUUUUUUAACAGGAACCAUACGUAUUUUUGUAAAAANAGAGAGAGAGAGAGAGAGAGAGAGUGAGAGAGAGAGAGAGAGAGAGAGAGAGAGAAUUAGGAUGGAAUACUAUUAAUAGUAAAACGCUUGUUUUGCUAUCAAAUUUUUAACCCUUGGAUGAAAAAUUAUAGGGUCAGAAUGAUAUUAGUCGGUUAGAGUUGAGUGGUCCCCACUGGGUUAUAGUAUUUAAUCCAAUGGUUAGAAAUAAUGAAAAGAAUUGAUCCAGAGGCUAAAAAACUGGUAGCAACAAUGAGAUUUUGCUACUAAUAGUAGCCCAGUCCAACUCUAUAUAUAUGUAUAUAUAUAUAGACACACGCCCAUAAGCAAGUACAAUUGUUACACACUCUCUACCUUUUUUUUUUGGCAGGGGGAUCAGGUAAAAUGUCAUGCACAAAUCAAAACCAAAGCAAACAGGAAAUUGCAAGUAGAAAAAUUAGCGAGGCUCAGAUACUCUAUAUGUAAGCAGCAUUGCUACCAUCCUUUUAUUUAAGUCAUCGGCUGAACAUAAGAGGCUGUAAAUGGUUGCAGAUGGUUGCCUGGGAAAAGGCCAUCCAAACCUGCAAUGCUUAGCCUUUCGCUGGAAUGGAGCAGGAAAAAAGCAAGGAGAAAAAGGCGGGUGAAGUUGAGUGAAAACGUGAAGCUUCAUUUGAAAAGGCGGCAAGUAAAAAAUCUGUAAAACAAUUGAACCAAAUGCUAAAACAGUAAACAAGUAGGGGAUGAUUAAGAAAAGAAAGAACCCAAGCUGUAUAAGCACAAAAGAGUGAAGGAAAAAGUAAAAGAAUAAUUUAAUCACUGUGAAUCAUAGAUAAAGUUGAGAGAAAAAAAAAGGUGAGUACCACACAAAGGAAAAAAAUAACAGUAAUGCAAACCGGAAUGUAAAGACAACAAUAGAAGUUGGGUGGGCGUGCACAUGCCGUCCAAAUCGGAAGCAGAUGGUUGCCUUUGUGCAGGACACCAUUCCACUUCUAUGAGUUAACCGCAUUUGCAUUGUAAAGAAACAGCCUCUUUUUUUUAUUAGGUAUAUAGCCUCAAUAAAUAUCCGAACCAAGCAAGCAACAAAACACAAAUACAGAAGAUAGGGAAAAAAUCCGAACAAACAUAAUAAAAGAUCUGAGCCAAGAAAACAAUAAAACACGAACACAUAAGAUAUUAAACACAUUAGAAACUAAUGUAAAUUAAAACAUAAGUAGGUUCAGAGAAAAGUGUGAGAAAUGGACCAAUUUGAAGGACUCCCUUCAUCACUUGAGUAGGUAACAUGAACAGAAAUGCACACGGGGUUGCCUAACAACAGGCCAUCCAACCUUCUGGCAUAGUAUAUGCCCUAAAUAGUCGCCGCCAUCACGCAAAGAAGCUGUAAAUCCGAGAACUGAUAAAAAGCAAGAAUAUACAACACCGAAGGGAUGUAACAGUUCCUCACAAAUAGAAACCAUAUAAAUAUGAACAACCAAGUAAAAGCAGGGGAGAAGAGAAAGAAAAAAAAAAAAACUUACAAAAGCAAGAGGGAAAUGAAAAGUAUACAGUGAAGCAUGAAACAAAAAAACACAUGUCAGCCACCAGCUAAAGUCCGAAUCAAAAAAGAAGGCAAAAUUUUAGGGAAAGAAGGGUGUGUGCACGCCCUACUUAAUUUGACAGCACAACAAAACCACAGCACAACAAAGCCAGGUAGUGAGGAGAACCCGUUCCCACAUAUUAGUGCCAAGUAAAUAAGCAAAUGGCCUAGGCAGUAUAAAAAACAGGUGAGGGGGAGGGAGGGAUGGGGGGUGGGGGGUACGUAGCACAGUAAGCAGGCAACAACACAGGUGGAUAAUAUAGGUGCCUGCAAUUAUGAGAUCAGUUAGCACUAUAAUUUAGGCAGUACUAUAUGUUCUAUUGUAAAUAGUGUAAUUCUACCUUACAAUGCAGGAAUAGGACAGUGCACAACUUUCUGCAAAAAAGUGCUAUUUAUAGACUUUAUCAGAUAAAGCAAGUAGAGAGAAGAAGAGGAAAGGAGGGUAACGUACGGAUGACAUCACUAAAUAUUGGCAUAUCUUCCCCCCCUUUUAUUCCUUUUUUUCUCUCUAGUUAAAACCAGGGACCAAAAAGAGGGGCAUAGAGGCCAAAUAGAUCUAGAUUUAGAGGCCACCACAGUUUUGGAUUUCAUCACAACCACACAUUACAGAAGCAAGCUCUGGCAUAUCUUCCCCCCCCCCCUUUUAUUCCUUUUUUUUCUCUCUGGUUAAAACCAGGGACCAAAAAGAAAGGCAUAGGUGCCAAAUAGAUCUACAUUCAGGGGCCACCACAGACAACCGCACAUCACAGAAGCAAGCACUGGCAUAUCUUCCCCCCUUUUAUUCCUUUUUUUCUCGCUGGUUAAAACCAGGGACCAAAAAGAGAGGCAUAGGGGCCAAAUAGAUCUAGAUUUAGGGACCACCACAGUUUUGGAUUUCAUCACAACCGCACAUCACAGAAGCAAGCCCAUUAACAGUAGAGUAUAUCCGAAGAGAGAUUAGAAAUAUGAAGCAGAGAGAGGGCUCACCUGUACGUAUAGGAUUAGAAUCAUGAGUAGAGAGAGGGCUCACCUGUACGUAUAGGAUUAGAAUCAUGAGUAGAGAGAGGGCUCACCUAUACUCGAUGGUAC